AAAUCAGGUAUAUUCGAUAUACAUGUUAUUGAUGUGUACUUAACCAGCUCUCGUAGUAGUGCCUGGGUAUUCGAUACCGGAUCUGUUGCUCAUAUUUGCAACUCGAAACAGGAAUUGCGGAAUAAGCGAAGGUUGGCGAAGGAUGAAGUGACGAUGCGCGUGGGAAAUGGUUCCAAGGUUGAUGCAAUCACCGUCGGCACAGUUUCACUUCAGGUACCAUCAGGAUUAGUUAUGAACUUAAAUAAAUGGUAUUUAGUGCCUGCGUUAAGCAUGAACAUUAUAUCUGGAUCUUGUUUAUUGCGAGACGGUUACUCGUUUAAGUCAGAGAAUAAUGGUUGUUCUAUUUCUAUGAGUAAUAUCUUUUAUGGUCAUGCACCCAAUGUGAGAGGAUUGUUCAUAUUGAAUCUUGAUAACAAUAAUACACAUAUACAUAGCAUUGAGACCAAAAGAGUUAGAGUUAACAAUGAUAGCGCCAUGUUUUUAUGACACUGCCUCUUAGGUCAUAUUGGUGUAAAGCGCAUGCAGAAACUCCAUACUCAUGGACUUUUGGAGUCACUUGACUUUGAUUCACUUGACACAUGCGAACCAUGCCUAAUGGGUGAGAUGACUAAGACUCCGUUCUCCAGAACAAUGGAGGGUGCAAGUGACUUGUUGGAAAUCGUACAUACCGAUGUGUGUGGUCCGAUGAGUGUGGAGGCACGCGGCGGAUAUCGUUAUUUUCUCACCUUCACAAACAAUUUGAGUAGAUAUGGUUAUGUCUAUUUGAUGAAGCACAAGUCUGAGACAUUUGAAAAGUUAAAGCAAUUUCAAAGUGAAGUCGAAAAUCAUCUUAACAAGAAGAUCAAGUUCCUACGGUUUGAUCGUGGGGGUGAAUGUCUGAGUUUCGAGUUUGGUGCUCUCUUAAGACAAUAUGGAAUUGUUUCACAGUUGACACCUCCUGGAACACCACAGUGUAAUGGUGUGUCCAAACGUCGUAAUCGUACUUUAUUAGAGAUGGUGCGAUCUAUGAUGUCGCUUACCAAUUUGUCGUUAUCGUUUUGGGGUUAUGCAUGAGAGACAGCUGCAUUCACUUUAAAUAGGGCACCAUCAAAAUCCGUUGAAAUGACACCAUACGAACUGUGGUAUGGCAAAAGACCAAAGUUGUCAUUCCUUAAAGUUUCGGGAUGUGAUGCUUAUGUCAAAAAGCUUCACCCUGAAAAGCUGGAACCCAAAGCGGAAAAGUGCGUCCUCAUAGGUUACCCAAAAGAGACAGUUGGGUAUACCUUCUAUCUCAAAUCCGAGGGCAAAGUGUUUGUUGCUAAAAACGGAGCUUUUCUUGACAAGGAGUUUCUCUUGAAAGAAUUGAGUGGGAGGAAGAUAGAACUUGAUGAGGUUGUCGAACCUCAAAUUCCUCUUGAUGGUGGCGCAGGGCAAGGGGAAACACCUGUUGCUGCGGUGCUGGUUGAGGAACAAGUUGAUGAUGAUGAUCAUGAAACUUUGGAUCAAGUUACUGUAGGACCUCGCAGGUCGACAAGAUCACGUACUACUCCUGAUUGGUUCGGUAAUCCUGUCUUAACGAUUAUGUUGUUGGCCAACAAUGAACCUGCGAAUUAUGAAGAAGCAAUGGUGGGCCCGGAUUCCAACAAAUGGCUGGAGGCCAUGAAGUCCGAGAUAGGAUCCAUGUACCAGAACAAAGUGUGGACUUUAGAAGUACUACCUGAAGGCUGUAAGGCUAUUCAGAACAAAUGGAUCUAUAAGAAGAAGAUAGACGCAGACGGUAAUGUGAUCGUUUAUAAAUCUCGACUUGUGGCAAAGGGUUAUUCACAAAUUCAAGGAAUUGACUACGAUGAGACUUUCUCACCGGUAGCGAUGCUUAAGUCUGUCCGAAUCAUGUUAGCAAUAGCUGCCUUUUACGAUUAUGAAAUCUGGCAGAUGGAUGUCAAAAUGGCGUUCCUUAAUGGUUUUCUUAAGGAAGAGUUGUAUAUGAUGCAACCCGAAGGUUUUGUCGAUCCAAAGAAUGCUAAAAAAGUAUGCAAGCUUGAGCGAUCCAUUUGUGGACUGGUGCAAGCAUCUCGGAGUUGGAAUAAGAGCUUUGAUGAGGUGAUCAAAGCAUUUGGGUUUAUGCAAGUGGUUGGCGAAUCUUGUAUUUACAAAAAAGUGACUGGGAGCUCUGUGGCGUUUCUAGUAUUAUAUGUGGACGACAUAAUGCUGAUUGGAAACAACAUGGAACUUUUGGAGAGCAUAAAGGAUUACUUGAAUAAAAGUUUCUCUAUGAAGGACCUAGGAGAGGUUUAAAAUGGAUCAGUCCAAGAAAGGGUUCUUGCCAGUAUUACAAGGUAUAAAAUUGAGUAAGCGUCAGUGCCCAGCAACUGCGGAAGAUAGAGAACAAAUGAGUUCCGUCCCCUACACUUCAGCUGUAGGUUCUAUCAUGUAUACAAUGUUGUGCACUAGACCAGACGUCAGCUUGGCCAUAAGUAUGACACGAACGUUUCAGAGUAAUCCAGGAGUGGAUCACUGGACGACGGUCAAAAAUAUUCUGAAGUACCUGAAAAGGACUAAGGAAAUGUUUCUCGUGUAUGGAGGUGAUAAAGAGCUCGCCGUAAAAGGUUACGUCAACGCAAGUUUUGACACCGAUCCGGAUGACUCUAAGUCACAAACCGGAUAUGUAUUUAUUGUUAAUGGGGGUGCAGUAAGCUGGUGCAGUUCCAAGAAGAGCGUCGUAGCAGAUUCUACAUGUGAAGCGGAGUACAUGGCUGUCUUGGAGGCCGCAAAAGAGGGUCUCUGGAUGAAGCAGUUCAUGAUAGAUCUUGGAGUUGUGCCGAGCGCACUAGAUCCAUUGAGUCUGUUAUGUGACAACACUGGUGCCAUUGCCUUAGCAAAGGAACCAAGGUUUCACAAGAAGACCAGACACAUCAAACGAUGCUUCAACCUCAUCCGCGACUACGUCGAAGGAUUGGACAUGAAUAUUUGCAAAGUGUACAUGGAUCUGAAUGUAGCAGACCCGCUGACUAAACCUCUUCCAUGGAAGAAACAUGAUCAACACUAGAACUGUAUGGGUGUUCGAUUUAUUACAAUGCAAAUCACAUGGCGAUGUGAGGACUAGAUUAUUGACACUAGUGCAAGUGGAAGACUGUUGGAAAUAUGCCCUAGAGGCAAUGAUAAAUAGUUAUUAUUAUAUUUCCUGUUUAAAGAUAAUCGUUUAUUAUCCAUGCUAUAAUUGUAUUGAAUGAAAACAUAGAUACAUGUGUGGAUACAUAGACACAACAAGUCCCUAGCAAGCCUCAAGUUGGCUAGCUAGUUGAUCAAGGAUAGUCAAGGUUUUCUGGCUAUGUGCAAAGUGUUGUUACUUGAUAAUUGGAUCACAUCAUUAGGAGAAUCAUGUGAUGGACUAGACCCAAACUAUGAACGUAGCAUAUUGAUCAUGUCGUUUUAUUGCUAUAGUUUUCUGCGUGUCAAGUAUUUCUUCCUAUGACCAUGAGAUCAUAUAACUCACUGGCACCGGAGGAAUGCCUUGUGUGUAUCAAACGUCACAACAUAACUAGGUGACUAUAAAGGUGCUCUACAGGUAUCUCCGUAGGUGUCCGUUGAGUUAGUAUGGAUCAAGACUGGGAUUUGUCACUCCGUGUGACGGAGAGGUAUCUCGGGGCCCACUCGAUAAUACAACAUCACACACAAGCCUUGCAAGCAAUGUGACUAACUGUAUCUCAAGGGAUCUUGUAUUACAGAAUGAGUAAAGAGACUUGCUAGUAACGAGAUUGAAAUAGGUAUGCGUAUACCGACGAUCGAAUCUCGGGCAAGUAACAUAUCGAAGGAGAAAGGGAAUGACAUACGGGAUUAUAUGAAUCCUUGACACUGAGGUUCAACCAAUAAGAUCUUCGAAGAAUAUGUAGGAUCCGAUAUGGGCAUCCAGGUCCCGCUAUUGGAUAUUGACCGAGGAGUACCUCGGGGCUUGUCUACAUAGUUUUCGAACCCGUAGGGUCUGGACACUUAAGGUUCGGCGAUGUUUUAGUAUAGUUGAGUUAUAUGCAUGGUUACCGAAUGUUGUUCAAAGUCCCGGAUGAGAUCACAGACGUCACGAGGGUUUUCGAAAUGGUGCAUAGACGAAGAUUGAUAUAUAGAAUGACUUCAUUUGGUUACCGGAAAGUUUUCGGGCAUUACCGGGAAUGUACCGGCAGUGACGAAUGGGUUCAGGAAGUUCACCGGGAGGGGGGCAACCCUCCCGAGGGAAGCCCGAAGGACUUAUGGGUGGCGCACCAGCCCUUAGUGGGCUGGUGGGACAGCCCAAUAAGGCCUAUGCGCCAUAAGAGAAAAACCAAAGAAAGAAAAAAAAGGUGGGAAGGAAGAGAAGGACUCCACUUUCCAAUCCUAGUUGGACUAGGAUUGGAGUAGGACUCAUCCUUCUCCUCUUAGCCGGCGCACCUUGGGGGCUUGGACCUCAAGGAAAGUCCCCUCCCCAUCCCGCCUGUAUAUAGUGGUGAUUUAGGGCUGAUUUGAGACAAAUUUGCCAUGUGCAACUCAGAUCUAGACACCAUAGUUUAACUCUAGAUCGUAUUUCUGCGGAGCUCGGGUGGAACCCUGCUGGAGUAGAUCCUUCACCACCACAGGAGCGUCCUCACGCUGCCGCAGAACUCAUGUACUUCUCCGUCUUGCCUGCUGGCUCAAGAAGGCCGAGAUCAUCGUCGAGUUGUAUGUGUUGUGAACGCGAAGGUGCCGUCCGUUCGGCACUAGAUCGGAGCGGAUCUUGGGACGGAUCGCUGGACUAUCCGUGGGAUGGUUAACGGGGCGGAUCGAGGGAAGUGAGGACAUUCCACUACAUCAACCGCAUUUCGUAACGCUUCCUACUGGGCGAUCUACAAGGGUACGUAGAUCCAAAUCUCCUCUCGUAGAUGGACAUCACGAUGAUAGGUCUUCGUGCGCGUAGGAAUUUUAUUGUUUCCCAUGCGACGUUCCCCAUCAUGGGUUUGUCAACCAAAUUCCAAACUUGGUCCCUCUCGAAGUUAUGUAGCUCUUCAUGUAUAGCAUUCAUCCAAUCCAGAUCUUCUAGAGAUUCUUCAACUUCAUACGUUCAAUGCUAGAAAUGAAUGAUUAGGGCUCACAAAAGUUAGAUAAACAAGUUUUAGAUCAAGUGGUUUUCACGCAGUUGAUAUGUUCAAGAAUUUGGUCAACGGGAUAAUUCUUGUCAACUCUUGAUCUAACAUAGGAUUGCUUUCGCCUGGGUGGUGGUGGAGAUUCCUCAUCAUCAUUUUCUUAUGCAUCAUUCUUGUGGAUGGUGUCUUUUCUUUGAGGUGGUGGAGAUGGAGGUUGAGGUGGGUCUUCUUUUUGAACUUCCGCCUUCCCUUCAUGUUGGCAUGUACCACCCAUGGAUGUCUCCAUGUUGUUUUGUGGUUCACCUUCAUGGGAAGUAGGGGCUCUCGCUUUCAUAGAUGAAGUACUCUCCUUCACCUCCAUGGGACAAAUCUUCCCAAUAGACGACAAGUCAUGAACCCGUGAGUAGCUUGGAUAUCUUUUUACCAAAAAUAUUUUGAUGAUAAAGCUUAGUUGUGGCAUGACAAGUCAUUUCCAUCAUUUCUGCCCAAAAGUGUUUUGGCAUCUUGUAAUCAUCAAUCAUUGUUAUCGCCAUAUCUAUAAGUGUUCAGUUAUUCCUGUCAACACCUCCAUUUUGGUUUACAUAGCAUAGAACUCAUGCGAGAUGCCUUCUUCGUCAAGGAAGGUAUCAACAUUCGUGUUCUUGAACCCCGUUCCAUUGUCACUCCAAACCUUCUUGAUCUUGACAUCAAAUUGAUUUUGGGCUUCCUAUUAAAGGUCUUGAAGAUCUUUUGAACCUGCGAUUUGUCAUAAAGAAAGAACACCCACAUAAAUAUGGAAAAAUAAUGAACCAUGACUAAACCUAAUAAGUUUUCACUAAGGCUCUUGUAAGCAUUGGGACCGAAAAUAUCUAUAUGAAGUAACUCAAGUGUCCUUCUAGUAGUCAGGAUAUUCCUUACGGGAUGGCUUCGUCCAACUUAUUUUCCUACUUGAAAAACACUACAAAGUCUAUCUUUGUCAAACAUAACAUCUUGAACACCAAUAAUAUGACCGCCUUUAGUAUGCUUAUCAAGAUUACGUGUAACAACAUGUCCUAGCCUUCUAUGCCAUAACCAAUCCUUAGAAGAUUCUGCCAUAUGUCAUGUGCAAGGUUGGGAUCUUUUAGUGAAACAAAUAAUGUAUAGAUCACCUCUAUGGAUAUUGGUAAAGAGCAUGUCAUGAUUAUCUCAAUGAAACACUUGACAAUCUACUUUGGUAAAUAGAACAUUGAAGCCAAAAUCGGUAAGUCUAGAUACGAAAAGAAAAUUGCAGCCAAGGGAUUCUACAAGCAUGACAUUCUUAAUAGAGCUCUCAUGGGAUAUGGAAACCUUACCAAGGCCAAGUACCUUACCCUUCGAGUUACCUCCAAAAGUCACAUACUUUGGUGGACCAUCAUUUCUUGCAAGAUCAUGGAACAUAUCUUUGUCUCUGGUCAUGUAAUUGAUGCAUUAACUAUCAGGAAUCCACUCUUUUCCUUAGCAUAGGUAAUAUCUUUAGAAUUUUGCCAUGAGACUAAGAUUCCUCAUAGUCUUCUCGUAUUAUUCAUCAAAUUCUUCACUCUCAUCAUAGUAAGUCCUACUAUCUACACAGUUGUUGGGCUUCGCUGAAGACGUAGGGUGAAGUAGUAUAGUAGCCGAUAGUAUUUCCCUCAGUUAAGAACCAAAGUUUAUCGAACCAAAAGGAGAUGGCACACAAACAACAUGAAUGGUACAUGUGUUAGGGAACGUUGUAUGGGACACAAACAAAUUAUUAUGCGCACCCAAGCUCUAUCUAUGGAGAUCAACAUCUACGAGAAGAGGAGUGCAUCUACAUAACCUUGUAGAUCUCUAAGGGAGAGUGUAUAUAACAUGGUUGAUGUAGUCGUACUCUUCACGAUCCAAUUGCAAUCCGAUCCAAUCUAGCGCAAAACGGAUGACACCUCCGCGUUCUGCACAUGUGUGGCUCGAUGACGUCACCUCCUUAUUGAUCCACCAAGAGAGGAAGGAGAAGUAUAUGGGAUCUCAACCAACAUGAUGGCGUGGUGGAUAUGGUGAUGGAGCAAUCCCAGCACGGCUUCGUCGAGCGCCUCCGGAACUGCAAACAAGGAGGAGUGGGAGAGGGCAGAGGCCGAAAGGCAUGGGAAUUGUUGUGUCCAGCCCUCUCCCUCUCCUCUGCUGUAUAGGAGGAAAGGAGAGGUUCAGGUCGCAGCCCUUGGUCCCUCCUCCAGGGAGGGUUGACGGCUAGGGUGGAGUUCUCCCUCCACGAGGAAAGAGGAGUCCCUCAGCUCCGAAGCACCUUUGGGGUGCCUUGUCCCUUUGGGACUCUUUCCCCAAGCAAAUUUCGCCUCUAGGGGUUGUUUCCCCUAGCUUAGGGUGUCUAGGGCGCCACCCCUAUAGCCCAUAUGGGCCCAUGGGGCAGGUGGACCCCACGGUGGUUCCCCAGAACCCUUUUGUCAGCCAAAUACACUCCGGUAAUGCCCGAAACCUUUCCGGUAGGAAAAAUAGGACUUCCCAAAUAUAAAUAUUUACAUCUGGGCCAUUCUGGAACUCCUCGUGACAUCUGGGAUCUCAUCCGGGACUCUGAACUAGAUUUGGUCACCAACGUACAUAUCCCAAUACUACUCUAGCGUCAUGGAAUGAUAAGCGUGCGGACCCUACGGGUUCUAGAAUCAUGUGGGCAUCACUGAGACAACUCUCCGGUCAAUAAACAACAGCAGGACCAGGAUGCCCAUAUUAGUUCAAACACAUUCCAUGAAGAUCACUAUUGGUCGAACCACGAUGUCAAGAAUUCAGUCAAUCCCGUAUGCAGUUCCCUUUGUCCAGCGGUAUGUUACUUUCCCGAGAAUUAAUCGUCGGUAUCUCGAGACCUAGUUCAGUCUUGUUACUCACAAGUCUCGUUACUCAUUCCGUAAUACAAGAUCUCAUGAUUAUCUCCUCAGUCACACUGCUUGCAAGCUUCUUCUAAUGUUGUAUUAUCGAGUGGGCCCAGGAUACCUCUCCAUCAUACGGAUCAACAAAUCCCAGUGUCAUCCACGCCAACUUGUUACGUCCCAAAAGUAUCUACAAUUUCUACUUGUUCCAUGAUCUUUUGGGUGACAAUGUUAUAUGUUUUGCUACACUUUUAUAUCAAUUUACACAUAUUUGGACUAACCUACUAACUAAGUGCACCCAGUGCCAGUUUCUGUGUGCUGAUGUCUAUUUUGCAGAGGCUUUUACCCAAUUUUCUGAAGCCCAAAAAAUUCCAGAAAAAAUAUAUGAAAAGCAGCAAAACAGAAGCUUCUCGAUCACCGAAGAUGGGCCAGAGGGGGGCAGGGGCUGCCCAGGCGACCUGCUGGCGUGGAGAGGCCCUAGGUCGCGCCUGGAGGCCGCGUGGGUGGGCCCCACCUCCUUCGGUGCCCUCCUUUGGCCUAUAUUUAGAGUCCCGAUAGGAAACCCUUCCACAACUCUCGGAAUCGCGAAUUUAUCCGUCGUUCCACCGCCGCAGCGCUACCGAGAUGAAGAGCGUCAGGAGAUCUCUUCCCGGCACCCUGUCGGAGGGAGGAUUGACCUCCGGGAGCUUCUCCACCACCAUGGACGCUUCCUGGACAUGCCGUGAGUAGUCCUCCUUGGACGAUGAGUCCAUGACCAGUAGCUAUGUGAUGUCUUCUCUCCAAUCUUGUGCUUCAAUGGUUAGUCCUUGUGAGCUUCCCUACAUGAUCAAGGCAUCUAUGUAAUUCUCUUGCUAUUGCUAUGCUCGGUUUGUUGCGAUCUGAUGGAUUAUGAGAUUAUGUUCAGAUUGUUAUGAUUCAUAUAUUAGAUUAUCCUUUUAUAUUAUUUUCCUUAGUGAUUCAUGCAUGUUACCCGUCGCUAUUUAUUGCUUUGGCCGAGUAGUAGAUUAUAACUCCAAGAGGGAGCGUUAUGCAUGAUUGUGGGUUCAUGCCCCUCGAUGUCUAGCUUGAGUGAUAGAAACAUGAGACUAGGGGAUGUGUUGUUGGCACCAGGGAGAAAACAACGGUGCUUGUGACCUUGUUUGCAAGGAUUGUUUACCUUACGCAUAGUUUGUUAAUGCAGUUGUCCGUUGCUUUGAGUUUACACUUUGGGUGGGGCUCGCAACUUAAUACCGGCGAGAUGUUCUGGAUAGAUAUCUCAAGGUGGAUUAUUAGUCAGUAGAUGAUGAUGAAUAAAUGGUCUACUUGUCUUGGCGUACUGCCUAUUACUAUUGAACCUCUAACUUCCAAGUAGCAUAAUUAGCAUUGUAGUGCGUUCAUAAUUCUAUCAAUUGCCCACUUGUGAUUUGAUUCCCCAAGCAUAGUUGUUCAUCGUCUUUUGGGAGAGAGACAUCACUAGUGAACAUCAUGUGACUCCGGUCCAUAUCACGAUCAUUGUUUACACCUCCACCAUUUACCGCUUGCACUUACUUUUACGUUGCAAUGACUAUCACUUUCCCGCUUGUCUUUUGAUCCUUUGCAAACUACAAGGCCGAAGAGAUUGACAACCUCUUUGUACUCGUUGGGAGCAAAGUUAUUUGUUGUGUGUGCAGGUCCACGUCUUCUGCUAGCGCCAGGGUGGAAGACACCUACUUGUUGAUCCUAGGAGUCCUCCUGGUUCGAUAAUCCUUACAGUCUCCGUGUAAGGGAAAACCUGCUGUUGACUACAUCUCAACCUUCCACUUGGGGUAACCAACGAGGUGAGAGAAGUAUAUACAUCAUCUCAUCAUCAAGCAACGUUUUGUCGCACCGCUGCCGGGGAGUCCAGUCUUCAAGAUAGGGGAGUUGGACGCUAUCCUUUACCUUUGCUUUUUAGUAUUGUUAGUUUGCUUUUUAGUUUUUUCGUUAGAGUCUUAUACCAAAAACCACCAAAAAAAUUAGUUGCUUUUUUCUUGCUUGUUGCUGCUGCCAUGGGUUCCGCUGAGAACACCAAGUUGUGUGACUUCACUAGUCACAACAACAAUGACUUCAUCUGCACUCCUAUUUUUGCUCCAGCCACUAGAGCCACGUCCAAUGAGAUUAAACCCGCCUUAUUGAACCUAGUUAUGAAAGAUGAAUUCUACGGUGCUGGAGAUGAUGGUGCCUUACACUUGAACAAUUUUUUUAAGCUUUGUGAUAUGCAAAAAUAUAAAGAAGUAUAUGGUGAUAUUGUUAAACUUAAGUUUUUCCUUUCUCUUUAAAAGGACGAUCUAAAGUGUGGCUUCAAUCUUUGCCUAGGAAUAUCAUAGAUUCUUGGGAUAAGUGCAAAGAUGCUUUUAUUGGGAAGUAUUACCCUCCUGCUAAGAUUAUCCAGUUAAGGAGUAACAUUAUGAAUUUUAGACAAUUGGAUAAUGAACAUGUUGCUCAAGCUUGCGAACUUAUGAAAUCUCUUGUCAAGAAUUGCCCUACACAUGGUUUCACUACUUGGAUGGUUCUCCAAAGUUUUUAUGCAGGAUUGAAGUUUACCUCGUGUAGUCUGUUAGACUCGGCCGUGGGAGGAACCUUUAUGUCAACUACACUUGGUGCUGAUGGGAUGAUGACAAAUUAUUCUUAAUGGCACACUUAGAGAGCUCCAACAGGUAGGUAGGUAAACUAUAUAGAGGAUAUCUCCUCCCUUACUGAUAAGGUUUACAUGAUCAUGACUCUACUUACUAAGCAAGCUCCUAUUGAUCCUCAUGAUGUUCCUUUAAAUUGUUUGGUUGCUCAAUAAAGACAGCAAGUUGAUGUUAAUUUUAUCUCUAGGAAAAACUUUAAGAACAAUGAUUAUAGGAGUAAUUUUGGUAGCAAUCCUACACCGUUCACAUCCAACAACUAUGGGAACAACAACAAUUAUCUUAGCACCAAAAACUCCACUUCUGAAUUAGAUAGCAUGCUCAAGGAUUUUAUCACUUCUCAAAAAUCCUUCAACAAGAGUGUAGAAGAGAAACUAGAAAAAUUAGAUAGUCUCUCUUUGAAGGUGGGCAACAUAGCUCAUGAUGUAUACAUGCUUAAAAUUAGAACUUCCCCCUUGAGGAAAGGAACACCACACCCUUGAAUGCUAUCCAAGUCCAAAUUAAUGAGAACAUAAGAAUGCUAGCCAAACUUAAAGAUAGAUGGGCUAGGGAAAAAUAAGUGGAAGCGAGAAUUAAGAGCCUUCAUAUACACGCUACCAUUGCUACUAUACAAGUUGUUGUGGAUCUCAAAACUUGUAGCACCCAUCGCACUCCUAGUCCCAAUGGACCUAUUAAUGCUGAUGAUAAUACCUCAACUACAGAACAAGAAGGUCCUAUGAAUUUAGAGACUACCAAAAGAAUGAGCUUAGAUGACAUUACUACCACUUUAAUUAAUAGUAGUAACUUUCAUUUUGACAAUUGUAGUCUUUCCAAAGUCAUCACCUUUUUGCAAAGAAUGGCUAAAGACCGCCACACUAGUACACUCAAUAUUGCCUUCACCAAGCAUAUUACCAAUGCUCUUAUCAAAUCUAGGGAGGAGAAGCUCAACUUAAAGACUUCUAUUCCUAGGAAACUAGAAGAUGGUUGGGAUCCUAUGGUCAAAAUUAAAUUGAAUAAUAUCACUUGCUUUGUAUUAUGUGAUGUUGGAGCUAGUGCUUCCGUUAUGCCCAAAAGGAUGUAUGAUAUGCUUGAUUGGAAACCUUAUGAUCCAUGUUCUUUUGGUGUUUGUCUUGUUGAUUCUUCCAUAAAGAAACCUUUAGGGAGAAUUGAUGAUGUGCUUAUUAUUGUCAAUGGUAAUCAUGUGCUCGUUGAUUUUCUUAUUAUGGACAUUGAAUGUGAUCCUUCAUGUCCAAUUAUUUUGGGACGUACUUUUCUCUGCACCGUUGGUGCUAUCAUUGACAUGAAAGAGGGAAUCAUUAAAUUCAAAUUCCAUCGUAAAAAGGGAAUGGAACACUUCCCUCGAAAGAAUAUUAAGUUACCUUAUGAGUCUAUUACUCGGGCAAGUUAUUCUUUUGGAGUUGAUAAUAUUUGAUCUUCUUGCAUUAUGCCUAGGUCAAAUGCAUAAAAGAAACUGCUUGUUGCGAGGCAACACAAUUUGUUUUUACAUUAAGUUUUAGUGGUCUUUAUUGUUGUUAAUACUGUAGCAACAUCAUUGUAUCUUUUUUUAAGCUUUGGGCCAAGUUAUAGCCUCCGAUUGCACGAAAGUUCAAAAAUUGUGACAUGCUGUCUAGAAACAGAUUAUGUCUGCUUGACGGAAACAUUCACCAAAAAUCACCAGAUAAUAUUUUUGAUUUGAAUUUUUUGAUAGAAUUCUAAAUAUAAUUUCCUUUGUGUCUUCUAUUCUGAGUUUUUUGAUUUGAGUUGCAGAAGUGCCCCGAAUAAAUUAUUUACUACCUCCUGUUUUCUUCUUCACAGAUUCUGCCAUGUUUUGUGUUCCCAUUGUUUUGCAAAUCCUAAGCUUACUUUUUAUUUGCAAAAAUCUUUUGGCAAUACUGAUAAGCAGUAGCUUUUCCUGAAAACCUUUAUUUCUAGCAAGUAAUGAAUGAUUUUAUUAAGGGUACUAACCACUCUAAUCAGCUUAUGAUGAGUUUCGUAUGCAGGGAGUUUUCAAGUAUGCGAUGGGAGAUGAUGAAAGAAGAUACAGGAGUGUCAAGCACUCAAGCUUGGGGAUGCCCCCAUGACCCCAAGGAAUAUUCAAGGAGACUCAAGCGUCUAAGCUUGGGGAUGCCCCCGUGCAUCCCCUCCUCUAUCAACAAUCAUUAGUUCGUCCAUCUCCAUGCUAUAUUUUUAUCACUCCAUAGGCUAUGUGCUAUGCUUGGAGCGUCCCGCUAUUUGCUUUUUAGUUUGUGUUAGUUUUUCUUUCUGUUCAUAACAAGUCGGAAGCUAGACUACCUUGUUGGGAGAGACUCACGAUCCAUUCCACUCUAGAACACAACAUAGGUUUUCAUGCUUAUCUUUUUUGUGUGUUCUCUAUCUUUUCAUAGCUACUGUUAUGCUUAGCUCUUAGUUUUCAUGCUUAUCUCUAUAAGAGAUUUUAUUUAGGUUACUUUUGGAACUCUCUUGAGUUAUCAUGCUUAUCUUGUUUAGAGAGUUGGCUCGUUGCACUAAGUUGUGUGUCUUGCAUGAGUAGGUAAUUGAGAUUUCUAUUUAAGUAUAGCAGUAACUUGAAAUAGUUUUGAGGUAUUGAUUUGAGUAAUGUUUGGACUAUUGAUGCCAAGAGAUUGAGCCUAUUAGUGAUAGCUGUCUCAUUUUUGUAAAUCCUUGUGUUUUUCAAAAACUAAAAAUUAGUGGAGAACUCUAGCUACUAAAUUGAUCGCUAACCUCUAGAGUGGUUGGAAUAUAUAUAUAGAGUACCCUCACGUUACCAUGAGUCGAGGAUGCGCAAGGAUAACCAAACCCCCAAACACUCCUCCUCGGGGUACUUGUCUCUUUGUGAAUUUCCUAACUAUAUAGGGAGUUAUCGAUAAUAAGUGUAUGAUGUCUUCAUAGUAAUGUGAGUAUUCGAUUGUUGGCAAUUCCACCAUCCAUAUUUUGCUAGCCUCUUCGGUACUGUGCAUUGCCCUUUCUCACAUUGAGAUUUGGUGCAAACUCCGCCGGUGAAUCGAAAGCCAUGACAUGAUAAGCUCUGCCAUACAUAAGCCACAUUAUAUCUUUCCCCGAAACAGCCACCAUACCUACCUAUUAAGGCAUUUCCAUAGCCUUCCCGAGAUACAUUGCCAUGCAACAUCCACCAUCUCAUGACUUGAUCUUCAUGUCAUACAUGCUUUUGCUUGAUCGUAGAGUCGCAUGAUAGUUGGGUCUGGCUCCAAUUAUUGCUACAUGACGCGCUAGCAUCAUUGCAUAUCAUGCUACACUGGCAGAGGCAUACAUUUGCAUACAUCAUGAUAGUUUUCACUUGUCUUUAUGUUGAGUACUUCUUAUAAAGUGUGAUGAUCUUCUUUUUAUUCAUGUAAAACAUAGAGUGUUGCCCUUAAGUGAGGAAAAGAUCCCAAAGAGGACAAACAAAAGAUCCCAAAGAGGUCAAAUGGGAGAUAAAAAGAAAGAGCUAAAGAGGCCACACAAAAAAAGAGAAAAAGAAAAAGAAAUAAAAAGAGAGAAGGGGGCAACACUACUAUUCUUGUUGAAGAUCUACACUCGUACUCCAUUGCUAUAUUGGUACUACAUAGAGAUUAUCAUUCAUGCAUAACUAUAUGGGGACCCUUACACUAUAGAACUUGAUUUGCAUAUUCCAAUGAUGAGCCUCCUCAAAUGAGCUCUAGGUCUUCAUGAGCAAACAAUUUGGAUGCACCCCCACUAGUUCCAUUGGAGAGCUUACCUUAGCUCAUAUGUGCAUCCGUUACAUGGCAAUCCCUAGUCCUCACAUCAUAUCUAUCAUUUGGCUUUCUCUCACCUAUGGUUGUCCUCAUUGAUGUGAGCCUUUCGCACCAUUUUGUCUUCCUUCCCCAUAAUUAUUCUAUUUGCCAUCCUAAGUGCCAACAUAUCUUGCUUACGCUCAUCCUAGUGGUCUGGGGAUAAGCCAAAAUAAGAUUUCGAAGGAGACUAAGUGUGAAGUUUAGUAGAUUGAGUUCUCAAUUAAAAAAAUAUAUAUUUUAUGAUCUCAACCGAUCUCCCACUUCUUGCACGCAAACACCAUUUGGAGACAUUCGAGUCACGGACAGCGAGAGCUCUUGCACCUUUAUGUUCUUACUUUGCUAAACUCAAUACUAAAUAUAGACUCUUGCUCGUUAUUGUCUUGACUUGAAUUGCAUAUCUUAUUUGCUUUACUUUGAUGUUCUUAUAUGUGCGUAGCAUGUCACCACAGAAAUUAUUGUGUUAUCGUUUAUCUACUCUAGGAUGAGCAGAAAUUAAGCUUGGGGAUGUUGAUACGUCCCAAACGUAUCUAUAAUUUUUUUCUUGUUCCAUGAUCUUUAUCGUUACAAUGCUAUAUGUUUUGCUACACUUUUAUAUCAUUUUAAACAUAUUUGGACUAACCUACAAACUCAGUGCACCCAGUGCCAGUUUCCGUCUGCUGAUGUCUAUUUUGCACAGGCUUUUACCCAAUUUUCCGAAGCCCAAAAAAUGCCAGAAAAAAUAUAUGAAAAAUCAGCGAAACAGAACCUUCCGGAUCACCGAAGAUGGGCGAGAGGGGGUGGGGGCAGGGGCUGCCCAGGCGACCUGCUGGCGCGGCGAGGCCCUAGGCCGUGCCAGGAGGCCGCCUGGGUGGGCCCCACCUCCUCCGGUGCCCUCCUUUUGCCUAUAUUCAGAGUCCCGAGAGGAAACCCUUCCACAACUCUCAGAAUCGUGUAUUUCACCAUCGUUCGACCACCGCAGGAGAUCAGGAGCGUCAGGAGACCUCUUCCUGGCACCUUGCCAGAGGGAGGAUUGACCUCCGGGAGCUUCUCCACCACCUUGGACGCUUCAAGGACGUGCCAUGAGUAGUCUUCCUUGGACCAUGAGUCGAUGACCAGUAGCUAUGUGAUGUCUUCUCUCCAAUCUGGUGCUUUACUGGUUAGUCCUUCUGAGCUGCCCUACAUGAUCAAGGCAUCUAUGUAAUUCUCUUGCUAUUGCUAUGCUCGGGUUGUUGGGAUCCGCUGGAUUAUGAGAUUAUGUUCAGAUUGUUAAGAUUUAUAUAUUAGAUUAUCCUUUUAUAUUACCUUCCUUAGUGAUUCAUGCAUGUUCUCCGUCGCUAUUUAUUUCUUUGGCCGAGUAGUAUAUUAUAACUCCAAGAGGGAGCGUUAUGCAUGAUUGUGGGUUCAUGCCCCUCGAUGUCUAGCUUGAGUGACAGAAACAUGAGACUAGGGGAUGUGUUGUUGCCACCAGGGAGAAAGCAAAGGUGCUUGUGACCACAGUUGCAAGGAUUGUUUACCUUACGCAUAGUUCGUUAAUGCAUUUGUCCGUUGCUUCGAGUUUACACUUUGGGUCGGGCUCGCAACUUAAUACCAGCGAGAUGUUGUGGCUAGAUAUCUCAAGGUGGAUGAUUAGUAAGUAGAUGCUGAUGAAUAAAUGGUCUACUUGUGUUGGCGUCCUACCCAUUACUAUUGAACCUCUAACUUUCAAGUAGGAUAAUUAGCAUUGCGGUGCGUUCAUAAUUCUAUCAAUUGCCCAAACUGUGAUUUGUUUACCCAAGCAUAGUUGUUCAUCGUCUUUUGGGAGAGAGACAUCACUAGUGAACAUCAUGUAACUCUAGUCCAUAUCACCUACACCAUUUACCGUUGUCACUUACUUUUCUGUUGCAUUCACUAUCACUUUCCCGCUUGUGUUUUGAUCCUUUUCAAACUACAAGGUCGGAGAGAUUGACAACCUCCCUGUACUCGUUGGGAGAAAAGUUAUUUGUUGUGUGUGCAGGUCCACGUCUUCUCCUAGUGCCUGGGGGGAAGACACUUACUUGUUGAUCCUAGGAGUCCUCCUGGUUCGAUGAACCUUACAGUCUCCGUGUAAGGGAAAACUUGCUGCUGACUACAUCUCAACCUUCCACUUGGGGUAACCAACGAGGUGCGAGAAUUAUAUACAUCAUCUCGUCAUCACAACCCAACAUACACCCUCAAAGAUACCUUUAGAGCAUCUUUAUAAUCAGCAAUUUACGUUGUGACAUUUUAUACACACAAGGAAUUCCUCGAGUGCCAGGGAGUUGCAUGAUCUCAUGGUCAUAGGAACAGAUACAUUUACAUGCACAAAUCAAUAGCGAUAAACUUAGUCAUACGAUCAAAUGCUAUGCUUACGGUUCAGGUCUUCUCCAUCACAUCAUUCUCCUAAUGAUGUGAUCCUAUAAUCAAAUGACAACUCAUGUCUAUGGCUAGGAAACCUUAACCAUCUUUGAUCAACGAGCUAGUCUAGUAGAGGCUUACUAGGGACAUUUGGUUGUCUAUGUAUCCACACAUAUAUGUGAGUUUCCAAUUAAUAUAGUUAUAGCAUGGAUAAUAAACGAUUGUCAUGAACAAGGAAAUAUGAUAAUAACAAAUUUAUUAUGGGAUUUUAAUUCCCAUGCCCCCGGUUCCUUCGUCGUACUAAGUUUUCCCCAUUUCCUUAGUUUUUGCUCACUUUUCACCAUGCGGUGGAAGUAUGCUGUCACAUUUUCCUCGCCUUUGCCCGUCAAAAAUGGCUCAAAACUUCCCAAAAUCAGUGUGUGGAGAAAACUGAGUACUCCUAAGGAACCAGGGGCAUGGGAAUGAAAAUCCCAUUUAUUAUUGCCUCUAGGGCAUAUUUCCAACUAUCUCCACUUGUACUAGAGUUAAUAAUCUAGUUCAAAACACCAUGUGAUUAACACUCAAUGAGUUCUAGGGUUUGAUCGUGUUUUUCUUGUGAGAGAUAUUUUAGUCAGUGAAUCUGCAACAUUCUGAUUCAUGUGUACUUUGCGAAUCUCUAUGUCAUAAUGUAAAUGCUGCUACCACGCUCCACUUGGAGCUAUUCCAAAUGACUGCCCCACUUUACAAAUCUGAUUUGCUACUCGGAGUCAUCUGGAUUGGAGUCAAAGCUUGCAUCGACGUAAACCUUUACGAUGAACUCAUUAUCACCUCCAUAGUCGACAAAAAUUUCCUUGUUACUCUAGUCACUAAGGAUAACUUUGAUCGCCGUUGAGUGAUCCACUCCUAGAUCACUCUUCUACGCCUCUACAGACUCAUGGCAAGGCACACACCAAGAGCAGUACACAACAUGGCAUACUAUAGAGCCUACGGCUAAGGCAUAGGGGAUGACCUUCGUCAUUUCUCUUUCUUCUAUUGUGGUCGGGCUUUGAGUCACACCUUAUAAUACAGUCAAGAACUCCUUCUUCGACUGAUCCAUUUUGAACUCCUUCAAAAUCUUGUCAAGCUAUCUCUUUAUUGAAAGUUUUAUCAAGCAUCCUGAUCUAUCUCUAUAGAUCUUGAUGCCCAAUAUUUUAAGUAGCUUUAUCAAAAUUUUCUUUUGAAAAUCUCCGUUCAAACAACCCUUUAUGCUUUGCAGAAAUUCUACAUCAUUUUGGAUCAACAAUAUGUCAACCACAUAUACUUAUUAGAAGUUCUAUAGUGCUCCCACUGACUUUCUUGUAAAUACAAAUUCCUUCAUAAACUCUGUAUAAACCAGAAGCUUUGAUCACUCAUCAAAGUGCUUAUUCCAACUCUAUGAUGCUUGCACCAAUCCAAAAAUAGAUCAGUGGAGCUUGGAUGCCUCUUAGCAUCCAUAAGAUCGGCAAAACAUUACGGUUGUAUCACAUACAGCCUUUCCUCAAGGAAACCGUUAAGGAAACAAAGUUUUGACAUCCAUGGACCACAUUUCAUAUUUGAAAAAUGCAGAAAAUGCUAAAAUAAUUCCAUCACACGUUAGCAUCACUACGGGUGAGGAAGUCUCGUCGUAGUCAACUCCUUGAACUUGAGGGAAACCUCUUUGCGACAAGUCAAGCUUUCUAAAUGGUGACAUUUACCAUCAUCACUUGUCUUCCUGUUAAAGAUCCAUUUGUACUUAAUAUCCUUACAAACAUCAAGUAGUUCUUCCAAAUCCACACUUCAUCAUCAUACAUGGAUCCUAUCUCGGGUUUCAUGGCCUCCGGCCAUUUGUCAGAAUCCGAGCCCAUCAUCGCUUCUCCAUAGCUCGUCGAUUCAGUGUUGUCCAACAACAUGAUCUACAAGACAAGAUUAUUGUACCACUCUGGAGUUGUAUGUGUCCUUGUCAACCUACGAGGUUUGGUAGUAACUUGAUCUAAAGCUUCAUGAUCACCAUCAUUAGCUUCCUCUUCAAAUGGUGUGGGUGCCACAGGAACGUCUUCCUUCGCCCUCCUACUCUCUGGUUGAAGUGACGGUUCUAUAACCUCAUCCAGUUCCACCAUCCUCCCACUCAAUUCUUUCGAGGGAAACAGUUUCUUGAGAAAUGACAUGUUCUUUGCAACAAACACUUUGCCUUCGGAUCUGAGAUAGGAGGUAUACCCAACUGUUUCGUUUGGGUAUUCUAUGAAGACACAUUAUCCACAUUGGGUUCGAGCUUAUCACGCUGAAGCAUUUUGACAUAAGCAUUGCAGCCCCAAACUUUAAGAACCGACAACUUAGGUUUCUUGCCACACCAUAGUUCAUACAGUGUCAUAUCAAUGGAAUUACAUGGUGCCCUAUUUAAAAGUGAAUGUGGUUGUCUCUAAUGUAUAACCCCAAAAUGAUAGUGGCAAAUCGGUAAGAGAGAUCAUAGUACGCGCCAUAUCCAACAGGGCAUGGCUACAACAUAAGGACACACCGUCACACUAUGGUGUUCCACGUGGUGUCGGUGCACUAAAUACUGGGAUCUCCAGUGCCCCACACUUGUGCAUGGACACCGACAGCCCCUCCGCAGCGGCAAGGCGCGUUGCUGGAGCUUAGGGCGAAAGCGAGACUGAGAAACCACCAAGUGUAGAUUGCAAGCCCCGACAAGCGGUCGCUUGUUGGGAAGGAUGAAGAGACCCCGACAGGAGUUCCCUGCCGGGGAGAUAGACAACGCCACAUCGAGACCCUCCCGCCGAGGAAGAAAGACUGAGCCUCGGCAAGCCACCCUUGCCGGGAAGGCUGACAAGGCCUUGGCAGGCCAUCAACGCCCCGGAGUUGCCACGUGUGGGUACGUGUCCAACCCCACUCACGAGGUCAAGGAAGUCUGCCGAAGCAUUUAUUGCACCUUUGACAAGGCAGUAACACUGUAACUGUUGGUCGGCGCUGUUUCACCCGUGAACCCAGCGUUCACCCACUGAGCCACUGUGGGGACCCCUUUUCCUAUAAAAGGACGCCCGAGGCUCAGUAGAGGGGGGGUUUUGGCAAAUCGAGAGGAUGUAAAAAGGGACAGAUCUACAGUAACCCAAAACGAAUAACUAAACGCAUGCAGGAGUAGGGUUUUACGCUCCGCCCGGGCCAAACCUAGGUAAAAAGAUCUUGCCUGGCCCUGACUAUUGGUUCUUCUCUUGCCGUGACCCUUCUCCAUGCCAAACCAGGAAAAAGGGGACCGUUGAGGCCUCUAAAGUUGUCGAUCCUUCACCGACAUCUUUGGCGCGCCAGGUAGGGGGCAUCAACGCCACCCCGAUCCGACAAGCCGUUGGUCGGCUCCACGGCUCCCAAUUCGCUGCUGCAGCUUCCCUGAGUGGGAGGAAGCAGUGGUUGUUUUGCCCGCACAAGAGCUCAUGGCGCCUCCAUUGGUGUUAUGCAAGCGCGGGUGGAAGGAGAAGAACCCCGAGCUCCGCAUCACCCGACCGACACACCUCCUUGGAAUGCCACGCUGUUGUCGAGGGCGUGAAAGGGGGUUCAGCCAGGCCUCCGACGCUUACUCUUACCGGCGCACCUGUCCAGAGUGUUGCGUGGUCGUCGAGGACGCGUCCAAGGCCCCGAACUACCCCUUCACGCGCCCUCCGACUCGCGUUCCUCCUUGGAGCGCUGUGACGCCAGACAGGUGCGCUCGGGGUCUCCGCCAGCAAAACUCUUGCAAAAGAGAUAAUAAAGCGUUACGGCCCAGCGUGCCUCUUUCCUACAGAGCGGCCAAAGGCCACCGGAGAAAAGCUCGUCGGCAAGAGGGCCGCUGGUGGCAACAUCGGCUUGCCAGGGGCAUGCAUACUCCUCCCGGGCAGCACCUUCAGACGCUGCGGCUAGGAAUUCCGCGACGUGCGAGAUAAGUACAGAAUCAAACUCCUUACCAGACUCUUGGUAGACUACUUGUAUCCUUUUGAAGUAUCUACUUUUGUAUGAGAACCCCAUGCGCAGAUGGGACCUAGGAACAGUGCACUCCGACUCCGUUUUGAGCAUGUUCAACGACUUGAGCGGCCACAAAGCACCCUUAUCUCAUUUCGAACUCGCUCAAUGUUUCAGACGGCUACAUAGUACCUUAUUUCACCUCGAGCCGCGAUCGAAGAUUUAAAUGGUUGCACUGAGUGCGGUAAGGAGUCUUACCGAUGAUGACCUCCUCUGUUGAGUUUUCUGAGGAUCCGCUCCUCUAAGGGCUCGCGACAAGAUAAGUCAAGCCGGCAAGUUUCCGGAAAGUGCAAGAAAAUAAUCAUACAAAAUGAGAGUCGAAUAAAGGAUGCAACUAUUCAUUAAUUAGUCUGGAUACAUUUGAUACCACUUACAAAUCAUUGUUGUCCUAAGCUAAAGAUUAUGUCUUUUGUUGAGGAAUGACCUACGCGAUGGAGGUGAAGUUCAAAAAGACAAAAAACGGGAUGACCUCAGACGCAACCAAGGCUGGUUCCUCCUAGACAAGCACUGCGCGGAGGAGAACGAGGGCGGAACACAGGACAACCCGAGGGGAUGGAGAAGCCAGAGCCCGCCAUCGCACCGCCUCAAAGACGAGGCGUCGAUGCAGGCUCCGGCGCCACCCCGCCGGGAGGGGAAGAGGCAUGAGCGGGCCUCGGCGGCCGGGCCGACGGUCAGUCGGAACCCGGGGAAUCGUACUCUGACCUGACCCCCUGGGAUCCUCACCUGCCACGGGCUCCACUACCGCCGCUGUCCUCCUCGUCAAUUUUGCUCGAGGAAGGACACUCGACGCUGCUCGAGGUCUGUUCACAGCAGCCGAGACGCACACCCAAGCGCCCGUAAAACUUGACGCAUAGCAUAUCGUCCUCCGUUAACUUGAAACGGAGGGUAUGCCCAUCCUUAAGGCUAUGGGCGCGAGGGAAAGAUUUCCAACCCCGCCCGAGCAGCAUGGAGUGGCGCUUCGGGUACUCCACACACGCCUGCAUGGCGCCAUGGGAGCAGCCGUGCGCCCGCAACCACAAGACAGGGGGCCUCGCGGCAGGGGGAGAUGCAGAUGGCCACGCAGAACGUAGUGCAGGUCCACGAUGAACUCCAGCGUCGUCCCGUCCGAGUGCCUGCCAAGCCCAGGAGAAGGCGGAGACACUAGAGUAGCACUUAACCUCCCUUGGCCGCGACCCGAACAUCCUCGGACCCUGGAGCCUCUCCUGCCAUGGUCGACGGGGCUGCCGCUGGUUACGGCCCCUGAAGCUGUGACAUGAUCCGAACAGAUCCCCUUGCUGCCAUGGCAGACGACGGAGGCCGGCCCGAUCCCCUAACCAUGGUUAGGGGCGAGCGCCACCGGCAAAGCUGAAAGAAACAAGAGAAUGCAAGGCGACAGGCACUGAAAGCUUCGAGAGAGAGAUGGAUGGGUAAAACCUCCGCACAAACACCCUAAUUUAUAGGGCACACCUCGUAGGCCCACCCUCCUCGCUCCGGAAGACACCGCCCCUCUCGCCCAAUCGCCCUCAAGUCACGAGGGAAACAGGGAACCGCAUAGCUGCCCAAAAGCAUGCAGGGGUGGGCCCAUCCACACCCGCAGCUUUUAAGGCCACGAUCGCCACUUGCCUGACCACCGUUGCGCAUGUCCUAAAUGUGGCAGAGGUGUUCUCAGGGGGUAAAGAGGCCACCAUGCGCAUGCCGCAGACCCUCCCACUUCGCGCGUUCAAUGCACGACGUGGGCAAAGAAAGCAUGUAACGCCUCGAUUCUGAUAAGCCCGGUGCCUUCAAGUUCGCGUGCCGCUUUGGGCCUCGCCCAACAAUGCCUCGCAUGCGUGUGAGGUACAGGCCCGGGGGCUCCUGUCGGUGCACUAAAGACUGGGAUCUCGAGUGCCCCAGACUUGUGCAUGGCCACGAGCAGCCCCUCCGCAGCGGCAACGCCCGUCGCUGGAGCUUAGGGCGAAAGCGAGACUCGGAAACCACAAAGUUCAGAUUGCAAGCCUCGACAAGCGCUCACUUGUUGGGAAGGAUAAAGAGACCCCGGCAGGAGUUCCCUGCCGGGGAGAUAGACAAUGCCAUGGCGAGACCCUCCCUUCGAGGAAUAAAGACGGAGCCCCGGCAAGCCACCCUUAUCGGGAAGGCUGACAAGGCCUCGGCAGGCUAUCACCUCCCUACCGAAAGGAACAUGAAGAGCCACGACAAGGUAACCCUGCCGAGAAGAAAGAGAAAGGCCCGAGGAGAGGCGCUGGCCCAGGGAGCCCUCGCGACCAGCAAACGCCUCCACCGACGAGCAUGCCACCGACGAUGCAUGCGCCACGCGUCCGCCUGCAUGCCAGCACAACGCCCCGGAGUUUCCAAGUGUGGGUACAUGUCCAACCCCCCUUGAUGAGGUGAGGGAAGUCUGUCGAAGCAUUUAUUGCACCUCUGACAAGGCAGUAACACUGUAACUGUCGGUCGGGUCUAUUUCACCCGUGAACCCACUGUUCACCCACUUUGCCACUUCGGUGACCCCUUUGCCUAUAAAAGGAGGCCCGAGGCUUAGUAGAGGGGGGCUUCUUGGCAAAUCGAAAGGCUGUAAAAAGGAACAGAUCUAGAGUAACCCAAAACGAAUAACUAAACGCAUGCAUGAGUAGGGUUUUACGCGCCACGCGGCCCGAACCUGGGUAAAAAGAUCUUGUCGGGCCCUGACUAUUGGUUCUUGUCUUGCCGUGACCCCUCUCCCAGCCAAACCAGCAAAAGGGUCCGUUGAGGCCCCAAAGGUGUUGAUCCUUCACCGAUAGGUGGCAUGAGUUGCGAAACAAUUUCCACAUUGCCUUAUAUGUAUCCCAAACAUGUAAAUCAAAUAUUCACAUCCACGAUCACAUCAUAGAAAUUUUAUUAUCUUGUCACGACGAUCUUCAACUUCACUCUGAAGUUGCUUGACCUUUUCAACAUUUCAGACUUGCGAUUCAUCAAGUAAAUAUCCCCGUAUCUAGUCAAAUUAUGUGUGAAGCAAGAUAAUAACGAUAUCCACUGCGUGCUUCAACACUCAUUGGACUACAUACAUCAAAAACUAUUAUUUUCAAUAACUCACUAGCCCUCUCCAUCUCACUAGAAAACGGGUCUUAGUCAUCUUGCCCAAGAGGCAUGGUUCGCAUGUCUCAAGUGAUUCAAAAAUCGAGUGAGUCAAAAGAUCCAUCAGCAUGGAGUUUCUUCGUGUGUUUUACACCAAUAUGACCUAAGCGGCAGUGCCACAAGUAAGUGGUACUAUCAUUACUAACUUUACAUCUUUUCGGAUCAAUACUAUGAACAUGUGUAUCACUACGAUCGAGAUUCACUAAACCAUUCACAUUGGGUGCAUGAUCAUAAAAGAUAUUAUUCAUGUAAACAGAAUAACCCAUUAUUCUCUAACUUACGUGAAUAAUCAUCUCGCGAUAAAUAAAAUCAUUAUAAUGUUCAUGAUCAAUGCACACACCGAAUAACAUUUAUUUAGGUGUACCACUAAUCCCGGAGGUAGAUGGAGCGUGCGAUGGUGAUCUCAUCAAGCUUGGAAACACUUCCAACACACAUCGACACCUUGCCUUUAUCUAGUCUCUGUUUAUUCCGCAACUCCUAAUUUGAUUUCCUAAUAUUAGCAAGUAAACUGGUAUCAAAUACCCACGAGCUACAACGAUCAUUAGAAAUACACACAUCAAUAACAUGUAUAUCAAAUACAAAUUUGUUGACACUGCCAGCCUCCUUAUCUCCCAAGCAUCUCGAGUAUUUCUUCUCUUAGUGACCGUUCCCCUCACAACAGAAGCACUAAGACUCGGGUUUGCGUUCAACCUUGGGUUUCUUCAAUGGAGCGACAAAUGGCCUGCCAUUCUUGAAGUUUCCCUUCUUGCCCUUCCCUUGUUGAAACUAGUGGUUUUAAUAACCAUUAAAAUUUGGUGCUCCUUCUUGAUUUCUACCAUGGCGGUGUAAGACAUCGCGAAUAGCUCAGGGGUCAUCAUCUCCAUCCUUGGCAUGUUACAGUUCAUCACGAAGCUCAAGUAACUUGGAGGCAGUGACUUGGAGAACUAUGUCAAUCACUAUCUCAUCUUGAAGAUCAAGUCCCACUUGAUUCAAGCGAUUGUAGCACCCACACAAUCUGAGCACGUGCUCACCAAUUGAGCUAUUGUCCUUCAUCUUGCAGGAAAAGAAUCUUAUCAGUGGUAUCAUACCUCUCAACACGGGCAUGAGCCUGAAAUCCCAAUUUCAGCUCUUGGAACAUCUCAUAUGCUUCGUUACGUUCAAAACAUCUUUGGAGCCUCAGUUCUAAGCCAUAAAGCAUGACUCAUUGAACUAUCAAGUAUUCAUCAAAAUGUGCAUGUCUGAUAUUCUCAACAUCCACAAAUGAAGUUUCAGGGGGAUGGCACACCGAGCGGUGCCUCAAGAACAUAAGCCUUGUGUGUAGAAACCGAGGACAAUCCUCAGAUCACAGACCUAGUCCGCAUAAUUGCUAUCGUCAUCUUUAAACAUAGUUUUCUCUAGGAAUGUAUCAAAAAUACAAGGGGAGCUACAGUGUGAGCUAUUCAUCUACAACAUAAUUUGGAAAGACAUUUUGCCUAUUUUCAUGAUAAUGAGUUCAGUUAAUCAUAUUACUAAAGAACUCCCACUCAAAUCAAAAUCCCUUAGGUUAUUCGAGUGUGACAUGAUCGAAAUCCACCAACCCAAGUCCGAUCAUCACGUGAGAUGAGGUGUUUUCAAUGCUGAACAUCUCCAUGUUGAUCAUAUCUUCUAUAUGUAUCAUGUUUAACUUUUCGGUCUCCUGUGUUUCGAGGCCAUGUCUUUACAUGCUAGGAUCGUAAAGUUUAACCCAAGUGUCCUACUUGUGCAAAACUGGCUUACACGUGUUGUAUGCGAAGGUAGAGUCUAUCUCACCCGAUCAUCACAUGGUGCCAUGAAACAACGAACCUUCGCAACAGUGCACACAUGAUGAGAACACAAUUUUAUCUUGAAAUUUUAGUGAGGGAUCAUCUUAUAAUUAUAUCGUCUUCCUAAGCAAUACAAGAUGCAUAAAAGGAUUAGCAUCACUUGCAAAUAAUAUAAGUGGCACGAUAUGGCGAUCAUCACCUUGUGCUUUUGAUAUCCAUCUCCAAAGCACCAGCAUGAUCUCCAUCGUAACCGGCAUGACACCAUGAUAUCCUUCAUCAUGAUCUUCAUCAUCGUGUUACCAUUGGGCUGCUGGGCCAACUAUGGUUCUACAACUAUUGCUAACUCAUAGCGAUAAAGUAAAGCAAAAAAGGCACAAAUUAAUUAAAUACAACCCUAUGGUUCGUGCCAGUUGUCGUACUCAUCGACAUGUAAUUCAUGAUAAUCUAUACAAAACAUGAUCAUAUCAUACGUCACAUAUAUCUCAUCAUGUCCUUCGCCUAUCAUAUCACAACAUACCAUGCAAAACCAAGUUAGACGUCCUCUACUUUGUUGUUGCAUUAUUUACGUGGCUUCUAUGGGUAACUAGCAACCGUUCUUACCUACGCAAAGCCACAACCUUCAUAUUCAAGUGGGAGAGACAAACACCCGCCAACAAGUUGCAUGUCACUCGAUGGAACCAGUCACAAACACUUUGUGUUCUACUCUUGCAUGUUAUCAAUAAUAGACCUAGCUCAUGAUGCCACUGUUGGGGAACGUUGCAUGGGAAAGAAUUUUUUUCCUAUGUGUACCCAGGAUCUAUCUCUGGAGAUCGGCAUCUACAAAAGGGGGAGUGCAUCUACAUACCCUUGUAGAUCGCUAAGCGGAACCGUAUAUAAAGCGGUUGAUGUAGUCGUGCUCUUCACGAUCCUAUCUGAUCUAGCGCUGAAUGGAUGGCACCUCCGUGUUCAGCACAUGUGCGACACAAUGAAGUCUUCUCCUUGAUACAGAAGAGAGGAAGGACAAGUAGAUGGGAUCUCAAACAACACUACGACGUGGUGGAGAUGGUGGUGGAGCAAUCCUAGAAAGGCUUCGCUAAGUGCCUCCGGAACUGCUAACGAGGAAGAACGCUAAGUGCCUCCACCUCUGCUCUACUAUAUAUAGGAGUAAAGGGGAAGGUUCAGGUCACAACCCUUGGCACCUCCUCCAAGGAGGGCCGGCGGCUAGGGCGGAGUCCUACCUCCACAAGGAAGGGAGGAGUCCCCUUCCUCCAAGGCACCUCCGGGGUGCCUAGUCCCUUUGGGACUCUUGUUCCCAAGCCAAUUUCUCCUCUAGGGGCUAGUGCCACAGGCCUAUGUUGGCUAGGGUGCCACCCCUACAGACUAUGUGGUCCCACGGCUCAGGUGAACACCCUGAUGGACCCCCAGAACCCCCAGAACUUUUCCGGUAGGGAAAAUAGGACUUCCCAUAUAUUAAUUUUUACCUUCGGACCAUUCAGGAACUAGAAUCAUGUGUACAUGACCGAGACACCUCUCUGGUCAGUAACCAAUAGAGGGACCUGGAUGCCCAUAUUGGUUCCCACAUAUUCCAUGAAGAUCAUUAUCGGUCAAACCUCGAUGUCAAGGAUUCAGUCAAUCCCGUAUGCAGUUCCCUUUGUUCACCGGUAUGUUACUUGCCCGAGACUCAAUCGUCGGUAUAUCCAUACCUAGUUCACUCUCGUUACUCGCAAGUCUCUUUACUUGUUCCAUAAUACAAGAUCUCGUGACUAUCUCCUUAGUCACAUUGCUUGCAAGCUUCUACUCAUGUUGUAUUACUGAGUGGGCCCAAAGAUACCUCUCCAUCUCAUGGACAGGCAAAUCCUGGUCUCGAUCCAUGCCAACCCAACACACACCCUUGUUGAUACCUGUAGAGCAUCUUUAUAAUGACCCAGUUAUGAUGUGAUGUUCGAUACACACAAGGCAUUCCUCCAGUGUCACGGAGUUCCAUGACCUCAUGAUCAUAGGAAUAGAUACAUUGACAUGUAGAAAGAAAUAGCAAUAAACUUAGUCAUACGAUCAAAAGCUAUGCUUACGGUUUGGGUCUUGUCCAUCACAUCAUUCUCCUAAUGAUGCGAUCCCAUUAUAAAAUGACAACUCAUUUCUAUGGCUAAGAAACGUUAACCAUCUUUGUUGUCUAUGUAUCCACACAUGUAUUUGAGUUUCCAAUCAAUACAAUUAUAUAACGGACAAUAAACGAUUGUCAUGAAUAAUGAAAUAUUAUAAUAACCAAUUUAUUAUUGCCUUCAGAGCAUAUUUCCAAUGAUAUGCACUCACACAAAGAAAAUGCUUGCACCCAACAAAGACGAUAGGGUUGUCAAUCCUCUUUUUCUCGCCAAUUGCAGGGAUAAAAUCUAAUAGUGAUAGUACGCAAAAAAAACAAAAAAAACAAGAAAUUGUAGGUUUUUAGUAAUAAUGUAGAAUGGACCUGGGGGUCAUAGGUUCACUAGAGGCGUCCCUCUCAUAAGGAUGGCAUGAGUGGGUAAAAACAUUACUUCUGGGUAAUUGAGAGAAUAUCGCAUAGUUAUGAUUAUGAUUCUUCAUGGCAUGAUUCAUAUAUAAGCCUUACAUCCAUUACAAGUAGACCAUUAAACUUACUGACACCUACUACUAUUACUCUAUCCCAAAACCACUAUCCAACAUGCAUCUAAAAUUAUUAAGUUUAUGACAAACAAAGUAACACUUUAAGUAAGAUAAUAUAAUUGAGACAAAGUAAGACCAAGCAAUAUGUUCAAAUCCCAUCAUUUUAUCCUUAGAAGCAAUAGUACCAUAUGUGCCUUGUAACUCCUCCUGUAAUAGAGUAAGGACACCAAAAGAUUGAAACCACUACUAUGCACCACUCCCUGUGAAGAUCUACUCAUCUAAUUGUCCAAAGAAGACUUAUAGAUAGGAAAUCAUACAUAGAUAUAAAUCACACACAAAUAGAUCUCAAAAGACUUAAAUAGUUUCAAUGAAUCUCAGCAUAAACCCACAAUCCAUGGGAUCCCAACAAACACACCACAGGAAUUACAUCGAAUAUAUAUCCAAGAGAUCAUUGAAUUGAAGAUCAAAAAGAUAGAGAAAGCCAUCUAGCUAUUCCUAUGGACCCGUAGGUCUGGAAGGAACUACUCACAGAUCAUUGUGGAGGCAACAAGAUUAAUGAAGAUCCCCCUCCAAUAGAGUGAUACCUAUCUAACGUAUAUAUAAUUUUUGAUUGUUUAAUGCUAUUAUUUUACCAACCUUGGAUACUUUAUACGCAAUCCUAUUUCAUUUUUGGGACUAACCUAUUAACUCAGUGCCCGGUGCUAGUUGUUGUUUUUGGCGCUUUUCUUGUUUUCUAGAAAAUCAAUACCAAAUGUACGUGAAGACCUAUGAAGGUAUGACAAUACAAUAGGGCGUGUCCUGGGGGGUAGGCACGCCCUAUUGUCUUAUGGGCGUGUUAUGGCUCUAUUUGACCUAGCUCUACUUCCAUAAAUUUUCAAAUAUCCAAAAAACGCCACAGCAAAACCCAAAACAAUUUUUUCCCAGUGGAAAUAUCUGUUCUUCCGUGGUCCCAUAUGGAGGCCUUUUGCAGUACUCUACCGGAGGGGGAAUCGAUCACGGAUGCCAUAUUCAUCAACCUUGAUACCUCCAUGAUGAUGUCUGAGUAGUUUACCAUAGACCUAUGGGUCCAUAGUGACUACCUAGAUGCCUUCUUCACUUUGUUUGGUCUUCAACACCAUGUUCUGUUCACAGACCUAUCUGAUGUAAUCCUUUUGCACGGUGCGUUGAUUGUGAUCAAAUGAAUUUUGGAUUUAUGAUUAGAUUAUGAAAGAACAAUUUCUCCCUAGGUUGGUUUUGAUAAUUGAUCCCAAUAUAUGCAUCAUUGGACUAAUAUGUUUUCCACCUAUAUUUCAGAAAACUUCAAAAGAUGUUAUGGCUAAAGGCUUAUGUGGAGAGGCCCCUUGAUGCAAUAAAGGAAUAAGAUUGUCUCAAGCUUCAAGCUAGAUGAUUAUUCAUUUUCUAUUUGUGAGAAAUCACUUUUGAGUCCAUAGGAAAGCCAAUACUAUUAAAAGGGGGUGAGGUAGUAAAAUGAACUGAUUGCUCAAAGUGCUCAAAAUUAGCCACUAAAAUACUUUGUCAUUUUUUACCACAUAAGCAUUAUGUCCAAUACCACAUACUCAAAUUCGGUGUCACCAACUUUCACAUUUCGGACCCACCAAGUUUGACCUUAGAAAGAAACCCUAGCCAUUCCCACCAAAUUGGUGCAACCGAAUCCAUAUCGGUGUUACCGAGUUCACGGUGACCAAAUUUAUAUUGCCUCGGUACACAAAAUCAGUAUUUCUGAGUUUCAGUAUCGGUGCCACCGAGUUUGGCCAUCUGACUAUUAGCCACUUAUUCAGUGAACCGAGUUGUGUAUAUCCGUCCCACCGAGAUUCAAAAGUUACCGCCUUUGUGUGAAUCUGUACCAACGAGUUUAUGACUUUAGUGACACCGAGUUUGCCACUUUAGGUGUAACGGGUGGAUUUUGUGCGCUUCCUAUAUAUACCCCUUCACCCAACUCUCACUCAUGGGAGAAACACUCAGAAUACAAACUUCAUUGCCAGAUUCAUUUUCUGAGAGAGAACCAUCUACUCAUGUUUUGAGACCAAGAUAUUCCAAUCCAACCAUUUCAUAGUUGAUCUCUAGCCUUCCCAAACAACUUUCCACCAAAUCAAUCACUCCUACCCAUGCGUAUUCUGUGAGAGAGUGAUUUUGUGUUGAGGAGACUAUCUUUAGAAGCACAAGAGCAAGUAGUUCAUUGAUCUACCACGUCUAUUACCUUUUGGAGGGUGGUGCCUCCUAGAUUGGUUAGGUGUCGCUUGCGAGCCUCCUACUUCGUGUUGUGGAGUUUAACCAAGAUGUUUGUAAGGGCAAGGAGAUCGCCUACUUCAUGAAGAUCUACCAUGAGUGAGGCUAGUCCUUCAUGGGCGAAGCCAUGGUGGAAUAGACAAAGUCGCUACUUAGUGGACCCCUUGUGGGUGGAUCACUCCUUGGACUCUCGCCCUCGCUACGCUCUGUGGGUGGAAGUCUCCAAUAACAAGGACGUAAGAUAGCGCCACAUAUAUCGCCGUGUCUUCCUCAUGCGUUUGAUCUCGCUACCUUACUCCUUUACUUUACACUUGCAUGUUUUACUUUCCGCUGCUGCACUCUUAGAACUGCAUGUGUAGGGUGUACUUGACUUGGUAUAAUUGCCAAAGCUGUCUCUCAACUAGAAUUGGGAAUACCAAAAUUAUUAUCUUGUCAAGUAUUCUAAUCACCCCCCUCUAGACGUACUUUCGAUCCUACAAGUGGUAUGAGAGCUUUGGUCUCCAUUGCAUUGGUUUCACAACCUAGGAGAGUUUGGCAUCUAGUGAGGGGAAGUAUCACCGUAGAGGUCCAUAUUUCGAUUGCACUAAUUUUGCUAGUUCGAAGCAUAAAAUGAAAAUGCAUAUUAUUGGCUUUAGUCCUCAUGUUUGGGUUGUUAUUCUUCUUGGUGUUCAAGGUAACUUAUUUGGAGAAUGGCAUGGACCUAAUCGUGAUGCGACGGCUGAUGAACUGAAGAUGAUGCAACUCAAUGCUCAAGCCUACGACAUUAUGUUCAAAUGUAUUUUCCGUGAAGAAUUCAACAAAAUCAGCCGCCUUGAGAAUGCAAAACAAAUUUGGGAUACUUUGGUCGAUAUGCACGAAGGUACUGAUACUCUUGGAGAAUCUAAGUUGGGUGUGCUUCAAAGUCAGCUUGGCUAGUUCAAGAUGAAUGAUGGUGAAGGUGUCGCUGAAAUGUACUCUAGGCUAGCUCUCAUCACCAAUGAGAUUGCUGGCUAAGGAAGCGAAGAGAUGAUCGACAAAUUCAUCAUCAAGAACAUACUUAGAGCACUUGAUGGAAAGUAUGACACAGUGUGCACAUUGAUCCAAAUGAUGCCAAACUACAAAGAUCUCAAGCCAAUUGAAAUCAAUGGUAGGAUUGUUGCUCAUGAGAUGUCACUCAAGGACAAAGAAUAGCUGCACAACAAGUCAAGUGGUGCUUACAAAGCUUCAUGUGAUGCUCCCUCUACUUCAAAGGACAAACUUGUCACUGAUUAAGAGAUAACCCUCAUGGUCAGAAAAUUCAACAAGUUCUACAAGAGUAGAAGCAAAGAGAGAAGCCCAACCUCAAGACAUGAUCAGAAGAAUUCGUCCAACCGUGAACGAAACUGCUACAAUUGUGGGAAGCCUGGACAAUACUCCAAUGAGUGCUUGGUUCCCUACAAACAAACAGAAGAGUCACCUCGAAGACGAAGCUGAAGAGAUGAGUCACCUCGUAGAGAGAGAAUGUGUAGAGAAGAUCACUAUGAACGAAGACACUCACGGAGAGGCAAGGAAUCAGAGAAGAAGGAUAAAUACACCAAGAGUAGGUCAAGAAGAAUACAAUAAGCUCAUGUUGGUGAAUGGGUUUCUGGCUUCGAGUCUGACCACCACUCCAAGAGAAGCUAUCAUUAAAACUCCGACUAUAGUAACGAUGAAAGUAUCAUUGCACUUGUUUCCUCCAACUCUUGCGACCUAUUUGAUUCACCAAAUGAUGGAUUCGGAAAAUGCUCCGUGGCUAAAGGACCCAAGGUAUCACACCUCGAGUAUCUUGAUUUUUUGUAGUGAUGAGCAUCACCUGUUAGGAGAAUAUGACUUGCUCUUUGAUAAAACUAGUGAUUGCAAUGAAAAUGAACAUGCUACUGAUCAUGAUAGUCAAGAGAAAUCGACUGAUGAUGGUAAGAAAGAAAUUGAACAACUAACUCAAGAAUUAAACCUAGGAACACUAGGAACAAAGUCAAGAAAGUUUAUUCAUCAAGUAACAACAAUGCUAAAUCUAAAUCCAAUAAUCUUGUUGCUAGUAGCUCUCUUGAUUCCACUAAUAAUUCUCUUAUCCAAGUUACACUUGAGCAAGAAAACGAUUUAUAGAAAGGGAUUAUAGAGAGAGAUAUCUUCAAGAGUCUUGCCGGAAAUAAGGAAUUUGAGGAAAUUGUGUGCAAGCAAGGAGGACAUCAGAAGAAACAAGGUGUUGGCUACUUCAACGUCAACGGAGAUGAUUGGGAAGAAGGUCCAUACCCCAUUUCUAAGUUUGUUCCACAAGAGGAGAAGUAUCGUACUCCUACCGAUGGAACAAGCUCACAAGACGGCCUUCUACCACAAGACCACAAGUUCAAGGGAAAGCUUGAAGAUGACAUUGACCUAUUUGAAGAAGAAUCACAAGUCAAGGUCAAGUGGAUUCCCAAGGACACUACUAGCUCUACCUCAUAUAGUGCAACCACAACUCCAAGGAUUCCCAUCAAUUUGAUGUGGAUCCCCGAGAGGAAGAACUAGAAAGUUCUUGAGGGGUGACUCCGCCAAUGAAAUUUACUCUUAUUCAUUUUGGCAAGAACUAUAUGCAAUGAACCUCAACCAUAUGCAUUAGCUCAACGAGUCACACAUUCCCUCAAAGGUAAGCAAGGAACAAGGUAAUUAAUGCAUAUUUAGACAUCAUCUCAUAUGUGUUUCACUCCAUGUCCAUAGAUAUUCUUCCAUAUGUUCCUUUUGCUUUGGGACUAACCCAUGUAGGUGAGAAGAGUAAGAAACAACAAGGAUUGCUCUCAACUCUAUAAGAUCUUCAUCAACAUUGAGCAUCCAGAACCCUAAACAAGGAUUACUACUUCACGUACUUGAAGUCUUCUACGACAAAAACCAAGGUUAGUUUAUCCCUCUUAGGGGGGAUGUCAUAUCAAGGGGGAGCUUUACUCUAAACCUUGAGUAUAAGCAUCUCCUAAGGAUAUGAACACAUUAAUGCCUAUGUAAAAGUGGUAACCCCACUUGUGCUUAACAAUGAGUAUGACAUAUGAUCAAGUAUUCUUACUUCGCUCCUGGUAUGUCUCAAAGGUAUCGACUUUUCCAAACACUCUUGCUAUUGUUUUGGCCUCAUUCUUGCAUGAUUUGAACGAAAAUAACCCGGAGUCAUGCUGUUUUCAGUAGAGCUGCCUGUAUGGUUUUCGUGUGCGCAGGAAAAUGGAUAUUUAGACAUCCCAGAAAAUUCCCAUAAAAAUAGAGAAAAAUCACGCACCAGGAGGAACCAUGGGCCAGAAUAUGGGCCAGAGGGGAUCCACAGGGCCCAAGGCAACCUGCUGGCGCGACCUGCCCCCUGGUCGUGCCGGGAGGCCACCUGGGUGCGGGCAACACCCUCUGGUGCCCUACUUUGGCUCCUAUUUUUACCCGUGAUGAGGAAAUUCCAAAACAGAAGUCGUUUUGGAAGUUCUCAACGCGGAGCCGCCGCCACCCUCGGUUCUUCUUCGGGAGACCUAAUCUGGAGGCUGUUUUCACCUCUGGGAAGGGGAAAUCAUCGCCAUCGUCAUCACCAUCACCACUCAUCAUCCUUCCAUGGCUUCUCCCAUCAUGUGUGAGUAAUUCCCUGAUGUAGGUGAAGGGGAUGGGAGAUAUUGGAUGUGUUAGGUCAUCUAAUAGUUUGUCGGAUUGUUGGGGGCAUGUUGCCUAUCAUCUACUAUGGUGUUUAUCAUCUUUGCUACUACUUGUUACUCUUAAUUCUUGUCACUUUAGGCUCGAGUGUCAUGACUUCAGAUCUGAAUAACUUAUGUUUUCAUGAAUAUAUUUGUGUUCUAGAUCCUAUCUAUGAGUAGUAUGCACCUAUUAUAGUCUAGAACCGGCGAUCCCAAUGGCAAUAGCUUCGGACACCAAAGGGGAUGGGCUGUAGUUUGAGGAUUCCAUGUAUCCAUUGAUUGUUAAUGAUAUGUUCCGGUGCUCUUUGACAGGAGCACCUUAAUCUCCAUAAGUUCCUUUUGGCCACGUUGAUAGCGGGAUGGUAGGGCAAAAAAUAUUGUGCAAGUUCUUAUUGCAAGCUCGCACAACUACCUUGGGAUACAUGCCUAAUGUUUUAUAUAUGCCAAGAUGAUCAUUACUUUUCUAUGUGCCUUGCUCCAAGUGAAAUACAUGAUAUCUCUCAUCCAUGACCAACCAUCCAUCUCUCUAGCCUACAAUGCUUUAAUUCUGCUAGUUACAAGUUGCUUUACUUUUAUCGUUUUACUUUCGUUGCUUUGCCACUAUUAUUUCCGUUACCACCAUCACUUCCAUAUCACCGUUGCUACUAAUAUUUCGUUGCCAAGAAAGUAACUUUCAGGUGCGGUUGAAAUGACAACUCAAUUGUUAAAGCCUAUAAGUAUUGUUUGGCUUCCCGUGUGUCGAAUCAAUAAAUUUGGUUAACUUACCCACGAAAACUGUUGCGAUCCCCUACACUUGUGGGUUAUCAAGACCUUUUUCUGGAGUCGUUUCCGGGGACCAUAGCUUUAUUUAUAAGUCUACUUGGAGUUAUUUUGCUUGCUGCGAUUUAUUCGCUAUGGGUAAGAAAGGAGACCCAAGGUUCCAAUUUUACCAUCUAGUAUGAGAAAAGGUACGGUUCUCAGCACCAGUGCUACGCUUGAUACACCUUCAGUUAUGAGGAAGUUUGCUUCACCACCACCACAUGCCGCUUCUACCGAGUUUGUUACUAUUCCUGAUACUUUUGAUGAUGCUUCCACUAAUAUUGAUGAACCUGGUUUACUUGGUUAUUUUAUUGAGUCUCAGAUUGCUAAGGUUAUUAAGGAGUGUGGAAUUGAACUUCCUGUUACACGCUACCCCAUUGGUAGAUCUUUUGUAUACCUAGACUUGAGUGGUCUCAAGGAAAGAAUUGUUGAUGAUGAUUGUAUUGAACUUGAUGAUGAUUUAUGCAGGGAGCUUACAGAGUGUGCUCACUCUAACCCUGCUUCUGUUAAGAAGCUGCUUGAAAAGCAUUCUAUGAAGAACAAGUUUACUCCUGAUCCUAAGUUUGCUUCAUCCCCUAUUUGCCUUGAGGAUGCUGAUUUCAAUUUCUCUGUCGAUCUUUCACUUAUAUCAAUAGUUGAAGUUGACCCCUUUUAUGGCACAUAAUAUGACGAUGCUGUUGCACACCUUACCAAACUCACUUAGUUGGGUGGCUUAUUCAGUACACAGGACAAGAAGAGAAAUUAUUAUGUUACUAAGCUACUUCCUUUCUCUUUGAAGGAAGAUGCUAAAGCAUGGUAUGAUGCACUACCAUGUGGAUCCAGUAAGAGUCCUGAAGAUUUAGCUCAAUCUUUUGUUGCUAAUUGUUUUCCUUCUCAUGAGCAACAUGCUGCUUUACAAAGAAUUUAUAACUUUAAACAGAUGCACGAUGAGCACCUCCCUAAAGCUUGGGGGAGGUAUUGCACUUUGCUUAAGGCUAGACCGGUACAUGGAAUCCCUACGAAUGAAUUACUUGAUAUAUUUUAUGAUGGUUUAACCGAUGAAUCUAGAACCUAUCUGGAUAAUUGUGCUGGUUGUGUUUUCAGGGAAAGAACACCGGACGAUUACGAAGAAUUAAUGGGCAAGAUAGCUAAGAAUCAUGAUGAUUGGUCCCUUCCUGAACCAUCUGCAUCACCCAAGAAGAGAGGUAUUCUUUUCUUGAUCCCAGAAGUUAUGCAAGAAUACAAGAAGUCUAUAAAAGAGAGAGGUAUUAAAACUGAAGUUGUGAAGAAUCUACCUCCUAUUGAGGAAUUAUGUGAGCCUACCACUCACCCACCUAUGGUAGAGGUACACUCUCUUUUAGAAUUCAAUGCAGGUGACGUCCCUCAUGGUAAGCGUGCUAAUAAAUGUUUAGAUGAACUUGAUAAUUUCAUUAUGAAGCAAAAUCACUUUAAUGAGCGGAUUCUAAGCCAAUUGCACGAUAAUUCCCUUGCUAUCAAAAGUUCGCUUGAUGGUUUGAGUAGAACUUUUAAUGAUGUUAAAGGUCCUGUUAAGCAUUUUCAUUGUGUUCAAACUCAGCUUGAACAAAUUUCUAAUGUGCAAAAAGAUUUUCUUGCUAACAAUGCCAAACAAGUUGAUACGUAGGCAUACGGUAUAAAGACCCGAGGAGGUACACAUUCCCAGGACCCCCUUUAUCUAGAGGGGAAUCCAAAGAGGAUCGAGCUAGAUUCACAAUUGCAGGAAGAAGACAUUGUCAGCUCCCCGAAGAAGAAGAAGAAACACAAGGAGGCUGACAACUCCAAUGAUUUCAUAAUUGAUGAAGAACCUACUUCUGAUCCUAAUAGUAUAUCUAUUUCCGAUGCUGAAACUGAAGAUGGUGCUAAACCUGAUAAAGAUAAUGAGAAGAUUGAUCCUCCUGAGAUACGAGAAGAAGAAGCACCUGAAAAGUGCAAGAGAUAUACUAGAGAAGAUUUUGUUCCAAGAAAACAUGGGAAGGAAAGAGAACCAUGGGUACAAAAAUCAAUGCCCUUCCCAGGUAAGUCUUUCAAAGCUAAAGAAUAAGAGCAUUACAAUAAAUUUUGUGAAUGGAUGAAACCUCUGUUUCUUCAAAUUCCUUUGACUGGUGCUAUUAAGUUGCCUCCUAACUUGAGGUAUAUGAAAGAUAUUUCACUAAUAAAAGAAAAGUUCCUAAUGAGGCAAUAUCUACUAUGCUUGCUAAUUACUAUUUUAGUGGCAAGAUCCCUCAGAAGCUUGGUGAUCCAGGUAUACCCACCAUUCCUUGCUCCAUAAAAAAUAAUUAUGUGAGAAUUCCUUUAUGUGAUCUUGGUGCAGGAGUGAUUGUUAUGCCUUUAUCUCUUUACAAACGUCUAUGUCUAGAUAAACUAAUCCCUACAGACAUCUCUCUUCAAAUGAUUGAUAAGUCAAUAGUCAUUCCACUUGGUAUUUGUGAGGAUGUUCCCGUUGAAGUUCCUAAUUGCUUGAUCCUUACUGACUUUGUUGUGCCUGACAUGCCUGAGGAUGGGAGCAUGUCCAUUGUUCUUGGUAGACCUUUUCUUAACACCGAGGUGCUAUUAUUGAUUGCAAUAAAGGAAAGGUGACCUUCAAUGUUAAUGAGAAGGAGCACACGGUAUAUUUUCCAAAGAAAAAAUAUAAAAGGCAUGGCCUUAAUUCUAUUGAGAAUAUUGAGACCGUGAAGGUUGGAGAGUGGGAUUGUCCUCUACAUGUGCACCACAAAUAUUAAACCAUUAUGGUGGGGACAAUAUCCAUUGAAAUAAAGGUACCAUGAUUGCUUUAUAAGAAGUUAAACUUUUAGCUCAAAUAUAACACCUAUUUGGUAGUAAUACUUGAUCAACCUUGCUAACAAAUAUAUUUUAUAUGAGUCAAAAGAGAAGCUUGUUAUGUUUUCAUUUCCUUUACCUUUCAUCCUCCUUGUUGUACCAAAAUUUUAUGUUUUUGAAGCUUCAUAUGUUUAACCAUUGUUUCGAGCUUACCAGAAUUUUUGCAGCUUUCAGUAUUUCGAAAAAUACUCAAAAGUGAAGUUGUAAGAAAAAUUCCAGAAAAUUUAUAAUAAAAGUUUCCAUAAAAAAAGUGACGCAAGGGCACCUGGAGCCAGCCAGGGGGCCACCCUCUGUCCACGCGACCAGCUGGCACGGCCUACCCCUGGCCGCGCCCACAAGUCGCCUGGGCCCACCUGGGCCCCUUUCCAGGUGCUUCUUCCUCCCUUCUCUCUCUCUCACUCCAAAAAUCCCAAUUUUUCUGCUCGAGAUCGAGUUCCUGUUGUUCUUGGUGGAAAAUUUCGAUCUCUCUCCACAGCCCAUCAUUUGCAUUGAGAAUUUGAGAAUUUGCUCCCUGGUAUGUGACUCCUCCACUCGUCCAAUUAAAAUUUUGAUUGGUGGUCUUAUUUGUGAGUAUUUAGGAGCUCUUAGUGCUAUUCAUAUGAGCUUGCAUGCAUGCAUAGAAAUUUAUUUGUGAAGUUUUGAUGCAAGCUUAUGCAUAAGGGGAGUGAGUAGAGUAGUUUGCUCCAACUCAUUUUUGCUUGAACCUUCAUUUUUGCUUAAACCUCCAUUUUUGUGUUGAACCAAAAAUUUCAGAAAUGAGCUUGUUUGGACAAGCAAAAGGAUGGCUUGGGAAGAAAAUACCCGAGCCUACUGAUAGACUAACUAGAGUUGCAACUCCAUCCUCUACUAUCAGGAGAAGUUACAAUGAUUAUAUCGUGCCACCGGAGUUGUUCCACGAGAAGGACACAACACGUGCCAUGGUAUACCCGUGUUUAGAUUUCCUUAUGGCGGCAGGUAUUAAGGAUAAGUUUGAUAACUUCUUUGCAGAUGCACGUUUGACACAUCUCGUAACAUGAGUGUGAAACAAUAUCCAAAACUCACCUAUUAUUUUGUCAUCUCAUUUGGAUAUAAUGAUAAAACUACCAUGACUGAAUUCAGAUUAUAUGAGGAUGUCUUUACCAUGUCUUUGGCAAAAUUUUGUGAUACUAUAGGUGUGCGGAAUGUCGGGAAGACGACCAAAAUGAACGUUCAGCCAUACGAGCUGAAAUCCCUAUUCGCAUCCCUUUGAAGUAAGGACCCACAAGAAAUUCACCGGGGGAAGAUCUCUAGCAUCUUGUUUCCUCACAUCAGGUAUUUCACAUACUAUAUUGCUCGAGGGUGUUAGCUCGGGACAACAUGAGCAACAUUUCGGCUCUGGAUCUUGCUAUCUUCGCAGCUGCCCUCUUUGGUGGCACGUAUAAUAUUGGUGCUUUGCUUGCUCGUCCCCUCAUCGCUAACAGCGGCAAAGGGCCUCACUUUGGUGGCAUUUAUGCCACGAUUAUCCUCGAGCACCUCGGGCGCACAGUGCGCACGGAUGAUACGCCUUUUUCAUUCGUAAGCUUCGAUCUUACCGCUAUGAAGAGGCAUUAGUUUGUUACUAGGACUUCUAAGUUUGGUAACCUUGUUUAUAUUAUGAAAUUUGGCGAGCUUACUACUCGCGAGAUCCAUCUACCAGCACCACUUUUGUGUGAUUAUACUAGCAGGAACGGGUCGUGUUUCACCUCGACUGAGCUGGACGAGUUCGUGAUCCAGCAGCAGUUCGACAACCCCAUGAAGGAGGUUGUUCCCGAGGAGGAAGGGCCUUCUCGUUGGGAGGCCAGUCGGGCAUCAGUGUAAGCGCCCGAUGCCUUGUAUUAUUCUUGGAGCCACCAGUACCACUCCGAAGCCGGAGGAAGCUCCUGGAGCCCGUAGUAGCCGAGCUCAACUUAGGCCAAAAGCCUAAGCUUGGGGGAGUACGUAUUCUUCUCCUCUUUCAUUGUAUCAUCCAUAGUAUCCUUUGUAAGUCUUUUCAGAGUUUUUGCAUGUUCUUCUUUGUUCUCUCUUUGCAAAAACAACAAAAAGAUUUCUCUUUUCUUUUGCUUUUGUUUAACCUUUGGAAAACCCAAAAAGAUUUAUUUUCUCUCUUUAGUUUGCUUUGUUUGCACAGUUCAGCUCACGUCCAUGGUUGCAAUUGCACUUGAUUAUAUCUUUCUACGUUUGAUCGUGCAAGUGACGAUGCAAUUAUGACUAAGAUCGACGGAAGGAAUGUAACAAGGAAAGACGGUAUUAACUCUACUUGUUUCUACUUUUGUACAUAUGCAUGUACUUAUGAUCUAGAGACCAUCUUGUAGCAACAUAGUGCUAUGAUUACAAUGCUCUCCCAGUAGUUCAUGCUUUCUUUGUGACUAGUCUAAAAUAGCUUGAGUGCAUAAUGUGUUAUUGAAAUAUUUAGCAUGCAUUGCACUGUUCAUGGUUUGGCAUAUUGGAGUUGUAUUUCCCUUCGGAAAAAUUCUGGAUUGGCUCGCCACAUGCUUACAAAUGUUUAUAACUAGAAGUCUAUCAAGCCUAGAUGAUCUUUUUAUUUGAGAAUAGUUAUAUCGCUUUCAUGCCCGAUAAAAUGUUGCUUUGUCGCUUUGCAUGAUCAUGACCGUUAUUGCUCUCUAGUUGGUCGCUUCCCUGUCUUUUGCUAGCCUUCACCUGUACUAAGAAGAUUGACUCCUUGUGCAUCCAAAAUCCUUAGAACCAGUUGUGCCAUAUGAGUCCACCAUACCUACCUAUAUCCGGUAUUUAUGUGCCGUUCUAAGUAAAUUUGCAUGUGAAGUGUUCUAAAUUUUCAAAUGAAUAUUUUGCUUUCUAUGCCCGAACCGCUCAUGUAGUGACUAGGGGCUAUCAGUAUUUUCUAUGCUAAGUGGGUUAUUCUGAAGAUAUGUGUUGAUUCACUAUCAUUCACGAGAAAGUGGUUGGUAACCGGGAUGCCUAGUUCCAUGCUUAGAGUCAAAUCAAAUUUAAUCAAACAAAACUCCCCCAGGAUUGUUGUUUGUAUGGACGGUACCCGUGGAUUCGACCCGCCGUGGAGUGUGAUCGAUUGGUGGAAGGGGAGUUAAAACUUUACUUUUCUCUUUGGGAACCGCCUAUAAUGUAUUUAGCAUGGAAGAUAUUGAGAUCUUUUAGUUUUUACGUUGACAGUGAAAGCAUACCAGGCAAAAAUUUGAUUUAUCUCUGUAUUAAAACUCAAGCUCUCACACCUCCGAAAAUCAAUGCUUGCCUCUGCGAACGGCCUAUCUAUUUUACUUUUCUGUUGAGUCAUCCUCUUCUUCUAAAAAAACACAAACUAUAGAGAGCACAAUUGUUAUCUGAGUGUAAUGUGCAUUGUCCCAGAGCACACGUUGUCUUCUGCAUGAUUGUGAUAUUGCUUACUCUGAAAUAUUUAUUUCUAGUCUCCUUUAAUACUCCAAAGGAGCGUCUGCAUUUAUGUUUUGCUUCACUCAUGGGGGCUAGCGAGAUACCACUCUAGUAUAUCCAAGUCAUGUGCAUUGUGAUCUCGUCAUGAUUUUUAGUUACAUAUUAUUCAUUCUUAGUUGUUUGAAUCUCUUCACAUGAUCUAAGGAUUGCUCCGUGCAUUGUCUUUGUAGAAUUACUUCAAUACUUGUUGGACUUGUUCGUAGUGCAUGGUUACAUACAUGUGAUGAAGCAAAAGAGUUUGUCAAAGUUUUCUUUGUCGCAUUCAGUUCUUUGAACUAAAUUGCUUGAGGACAAGCAAUAUGCUAAGCUUGGGGGAGUUGAUACUUCUCAAACGUAUCGACUUUUGCAAACACUUUUGCUAUUGUUUUGGCCUCAUUCUUGCAUGAUUUGAAUGAAACUAACACAGACUAACGUUGUUUUCAGCAGAGCUGCCUGUAUGGUUUUCUUGUGCGCAGGAAAAUGGAUAUUUAAACGUCCCGGAAAAUUCCCAUAAAAAUAGAGAAAAUGGAUGCACCGGGAGGAACCAUGGGCCAGAAGAUGGGCCAGAGGGGAGCCACAGGGCCCCCAGGCGAGCUGCUGGCACAGCGGGCCACCUGGACGCGUCGGGAGGCCGCCUGGGCGGGGCCCACCCCCUCUUGUGCCCUACAUUGGCUCCUUUUUUUACCUAUGAUGAGGAAAUUCCAGAACAUAAGUCGUUUUGCAAGUUCUCGACGUGGAGCCGCCGCCACCCUCGGUUCUUCGUCGGGAGAGCUAAUCUGGAGGCUGUUUUGGCCUCCGGAGAGGCGAAAUCAUCGCCAUCGUCAUCACCAUCACCACUCCGUCAUCCUUCCAUGGCUUCUCCCAUCAUGUGUGAGUAAAUACCUGUUGUAGGUCAAGGGUAUGUGAGAGACUGGACGAGUUAGAUCAUGUAAUAUUUCGUUGGAUUGUUGGGGGCAUGUUGCCUAUCAUCUACUACGAUGUUUAUCAUCUUUGCUACUACUUGUUACUCUUAAUCUUGUCACUUUGGGCCCGAGUGCCAUGAUUUCAGAUCUGAAUACCUUAUGUUUUCAUGAAUAUAUUACGUUCUAGAUCCUAUCUAUGAGUAGUAUGCACCUAUUAUAGUCUGGAACCAGCGAUCCAAAUGGUGACAGCUUGGGACACCAAAGGGGAUGGGCUGUAGUUUGAGGAUUCCAUGUAUCCAUUGAUUGUUAAUCCUUUGUUCCGGUGCUCUUUGAAAGGAUCACAUUAAUAUCCAUCAGUUCCUUUUGUCCCCAUUGAUAGCGGGAUGGUAGGACAAAAGAUGUUGUGCAAGUUCUUAUUGCAAGCACGCACAACUACCACGGGAUACAUGCCUAAUGUUUGAUAUAUGCCUAGAUGAUCAUUACUUUUCUAUGUGCCUUGCCCCAAGUGAAAUACAUGAUAUCUCUCAUCCAUGACCAACCAUCCAUCUCCCUAGCCUACAAUACUUUAAUACUACUAGUUACAAGUUGCUUUACUUUCGCCGUUUUACUUUCUUUGCUUUGCUACUAUUAUUUCCGUUUCCACCAUCACUUCCAUAUCACCGUUGCUACUAAUAUUUCAUUGCCAAGCAAGUAUCUUUCAGGUGCGGUUGAAUUGACAACUCAACUGUUAAAGCUUAUAAAUAUUCUUUGGCUCCCCUUGUGUUGAAUCAAUAAAUUGGGUUAACAUACCCGCGAAAAUUGUUGCGAUCCCCUACACUUGUGGGUUAUAAGCUCCUAAGUCAAUAUACUCAUAUAUAGAUGACUUUGUCAUCUCCCAAGUGCUUGAUAGUUGCUAGGAUGUUUGUGCAUGUUCACCAUGUUUUAUAUAUCAUUCUUAUUGUAUGAACUUGUUGGUCUGCAUGUGUUUGCUCGGUCGAGGACAUCCAAUUGUUGUUAUUCGUCUCUCGAUUUAUCUUUUGCCAAUUCGAUGGACAAGAAUGCCUAGGACGCUUCUCUAGCUAUCUAUUCUAUCUCAUCUCAAGUUCUAUUCAUGCUUCUUCACAAAACUUGAACAAGCACUUGUCGAUCCCUCUGUGUGAAGGUUAACUCGGAGUUUCGUAUCAUCAAAGGUUGCCUUCCAAAACCUCUUCGAAAAUCUCAGUGAGACCAACUUCACAAAAUCGGUUCCACCGAAUUUCCAAAGCUGAUCUGGUUUUUCAAUCUUGGUACCACCGAAAUCACCAACUCGUUUACACCAAGUUUCCGUGUCAACUGACAAUAGAGGAACUCGGUGACACCAAUUUCGUAUUCUCGGUGAUAUCGACAACGAACAAGUAUAUAUUCUAGCGGACCGGAUCUUUGAAUUCAGAUCGUCAAAACCGUUUGGCCUCAAAGCCCUAAGCUUCCCUUGGACCCUUGGUCGUCGCCUUUUCCUCCCCGAGUGCCUCCGCCAUUGGGAAUCUCCACCGUUGACGGAUUCUUCACCAUCAUCGCUGUCGUAGCCGUACUAUCACCAAGUUAGGGUACAAAUCCGCUUUUCUCUUGCGCUCCCUUGGUCUAUCUCAUGCGCAUUAGAAAUUUUAUCCACAAGCCACCAUGUACAAACCUAUGCUUCCACCAGAAUUUCUUGUAGAUUAGAGAACGAGAAAUUUUCUAGGUUUACCCAUUCGCAAAACUCAUCUUGGUUCCACCGAGUUGCAUAAUUUGGUUGCACCGAUUUGAAUCUAGGGUUACUGAGAAUGAACUUGGUGAGACCGAGUUGUAACUUUUGGUGCUAUUGAAGGGAUGACCAAGUUUCUCUAAAGAAGUUCAUUUGUCUUGGUGACUCCGAAAAGUCAAACUCGGUGCUACCAAAAUGUGAUCUGCAGAAAGCUAAAACUAAGGAUUUAUUUGUUCAAAUUUUUUAAAACAUCUAAAUUUUGUGAUGCUCAACCCUUGUGCCUUUCCUAUAUCUACUUCAUAGGUUUGUUGUUUUCUCUUGAGUUUCUGCUUGUCUGCCAAGAUGUCUCGAUGAGAAGAUAGCCAAAAUGAUUUGAGAGAGCCAAUUGUUGAGAUGGACUCAGGCACAAGUCAAGAGAAGACUAACUCUAACCAUGGAUCUUACAACUCCCAUGGCUUGCCCAAGGCAGCCACCAGGCAGAGGAAGAAACUGAACUCAGAUGAAGAGGACUCAGACUUUGUUCCCAAGGAAACUUCAACUCCUCGAAAGGCUCCAAGGAAGACAAUCACGAAAGAGUACGUAGGACUUGCUAAUCGUAGAGCACAUGAAUCUGCAAGGCAGAGCACAACACUUUCCACUGACAAACUUGCCAAGAAGGCUGGAGUGAAGAGACCCAGAAUGUGGAUAGUACAUGUGGUGGGGAGACACACUUCUAUGUAUGAGGACCAUGAAGAAUAUGUUGGUGAAUAUGAGAUCCCAACUCCUCCCAGGAAGAAGAAUCUCAUGGUUGAUGCUAUGAAAUCUGCUCCUAAGCCUCCAUCCAAGGAAAAGAAAGCUUGUAGAAAGACUACAAAGGAUAUUCCUGCACCUGCCAAGGACAAAGGCCCUGCUUCCAGUGCCCUUGCUGUAGAGGAGUAAGAAGAUGAGAAUGCACCUAUUCUCAGGAAGGUCUGAUCAACCCUGCUAGUACACAAUGCUGCUCACACAGUAGCAGAAGAUAUGAGGAAGAGGAAAGAUGCAGGUUUGAGGAAAUGGAGAGCUCCUGAUCCAUAUGUUGUCAGGAGGAGAACUGUUGUUGAUCCAAGGUUACACACCAAGGAACAACAAGAUUUUUAUGAGACUGACCUGUUUGACAAGAGUCCGGCUGCCAGUGGUAUGAGAUAUGUUGACUGGGAAUACAUCAAGGAAAAUGAAAAUUUCUUUCCACAUGUCCAAGAAAAUUUCAGGCUAGUGGACAUUGAAGACUUUGUUGGAAAAUACAUGACCCCAUGGAAUGAUGAGCUGAUCAUGCAAUUUUACUCAACUGUUCAUUUCUAUGGAGAUGGAUCUUUUGUCUGGAUGAUAGAUGGUCACAAAUAUGAGUCUAUGAUUGAUGAGUGGGCCAUUAUCAUUGGUGCCCCCAAGAAGAAAGAGAGUAAUGUGGAUGUGUAUUCUGAAGCAAAGAUGAGCCACACCACCAUGGCUAAUAUGUAAAAGCUAAUUCCUCACAAUUAUUUGGCUAGUCACAAGAUGGGCACAAUAUACUUCUUACAAGAAGGGAUACCCACAACUAACACCAUUCUGAGACACACCUUGAUGCCUAAAUCUGGUGAUGACAGGAUGAUUCGACGACACUCCAACAAUCUGCUGCACCAUUUGGACUCUCAUACAAGAUUCAAAGUGAUGGACUUGAUAGUAAAGACGAUCCACAGGGCUACUACUGAUCAAAAAAGAUGUUGUGCAUAUGCCCCUUACAUUUACAUGCUUAUCAAUGCCAAGCUAGGCAAGCAUGCAUAUCUCCUUGAUCAUCCCCAUCUACCCCCUCAACCAGAAUUUAAAGACAAUGUUGUGGUGAUGGAUGAAACUGAUCCUAGCUCAACUGGAGCAAGAAUGGGAGCGUAGCAGAAGCUGAGGCUGCUAUGAAUGAGCGACCACCAGUUCCGCAACACAGAACUCAAGCUGAGUAAAUGACAUUUCUAGUUAUCUCUGUGCAAGGUAUGGAGAAGAACAUCCAGGAGAUACUACAAAGUCAGAAAAGCCCUAAGGGAGUCAUGGAAACAAAAUUUCAUGAGAUGGAUGUGAAGGUAACGGAGUUGACCACUAUAGUCUAACAGCUUCAACAUGAAGUUGACUUAGUGGAAAUCCCGCGGUCACAUGAUGAUGAUGAUGAUGAAGAUGACGAUAAAGAAGAGUCACCUCCUCUCACUACCACACAUUCAACACCCAGCCUAGUUCAGUUUUUGUUCCUGCUCAGGAGACAAGACAGACCUCUACAGCUCAAGCAUCAGCACCUCUAGCACCAGCUCCAUCUCAAGCACCUCCAGUAUCCACUCCUCUAGCUAGAGGACACUCAACAGAUGCCUUCGUGGAUGCUCUUCAGUCGACUCCAUCAUUAGUUGCCGAGAGAGACGAGUAGUUCUAUACUUUUGAACUUUUUGGUAACUUGUUGACAAAGGGUGGAAAUGUAUAGAUCAUAGAGUUUGACAGAGAGAGAGAGAGAACUUUUGACAUUAUUUUCUAUCAUUUUAUUUCAAAAAUAUUGGACUUUUGGUUGAAUUUAUCCUGUUUUCUGUGUUUGAUUAUAUGCUUUUCUUGGUUGAUGCUAUGUUAUUAUCCUUUUAGCAAUCUAUGUGUUUAUCAUUCACUUAUCUUGUUGGUGUCAUGUGCAUUGCUAUUCAUUUUUAUCUUGUAUGUGCACCACCAAGAUAUAUGUGACAUGGAAGAGUAACACAUGAUCCUAAUCGAUUGUGCAUUUGCAUUGAAACACAAAAUUUAAAUAAUGCUCAAAUUUAGGGGGAGUUCUUGCUUUUCACAUACUUCUCAAAGCGUUGAUGCUCAUCAUUGAUUAUAUCUUUUCUCGAAGAUUUGAUCUAUAUGUUAUCUUCAAUUACCAAGAAGGGGAUAUUGAAAGCAUAAUUGCUCCCUCGGGUGGUUUUGAUAAUAGAUCACAACAUAUGCAUCAUUGGUCUAAUAUGUUUUCCAACUAUAUUUCAGAAAUGUUCAAAAGAUGCGAUAGCUAAAGGCUUAUCUUGAGGUGCCCCUUGAUGCAAUAAAGGAAUAAGAUUGGCUAAAUCUUCAAGCUAGAAGACUAUUCAUUUAAUAUUUCUGAGAAAUCACUGUUGAGUCCAUAGGAAAGCCAAUACUAUUAAAAGGGGGUGAGGUAGUAAAAUGAACUAUUUCUCAAAGUGCUCAAUCUUAGUCACGAAAAUACUCAGUCAUUUUAACGAGAUAACCAUCCUGUCCAUUUCCACAUACUCAAAUUCGGCGUCACCAACUUUCAAAUUUCAUACCCACCGAGUUUGACCUCAGGCAGAAACCCUAGCCAUUCCCACCAAAUCGGUGCAAUCGAAUCCAUAUCGGUGCUACCGAGUUUAAGGUGACCAACUUUGUGUUGCCUCGGUACACAAAAUCGGAAUUUCCGAGUUUGAGUAUCAGUACCAUCAAGUUUGCCAUCUGACCGUUAGCCACCUUUUUGGUGCUACCGAGUUGUGUAUAUGGGACCCACCGAGAUUCAAAAGUUACAACCUUUGUGUGAAUCAGUACCACCAAGUUUAUGACUUCGGUGUCACCGAGUUUUCCACUUUAGGUGUAACGGUUGGAUUUUUUGUGUUCCCUAUAUAUACCCCUUCACCCACCUCUCACUCGUGGGAGAAGCACUCCGAACACACACUUCACUGCCAGAUUCAUUUUCUGAGAGAGAACCACCUACUCAUGUGUUCAGACCAAGAUAUUCCAAUCCAACCAUUUGAAAGUUGAUAUCUAGCCUCCCCAAACAGCUCUCCACCAAAGCAAUCUCUCCUACCCAUGCAUAUUCUGUGAGAGAGUUAUUUUGUGUUGAGGAGACUAUCUUUAGAAGCACAAGAGCAAGGAGUUCAUUGAUCUACCACAUCUAUUACCUUUUGGAGGGUGGUGCCUCCAAGAUUGGUUAGGUGUCGCUCGGGAGCCUCCUACUUCGUGUUGUGGAGUUGAACCAAGAUGUUUGUAAGGGCAAGUAGAUCGCCUACUUCAUGGAGAUCUAUCGUGAGUGACACUAGUCCUUCGUCGGAGGAAGCCGUGGUGGAAUAGACAAGGGCGCUUCUUAGUGGACCCCUUAUAGGCGGAGCCCUCCGUGGACUCUCGUCGUUGUUACCCUCCGUGGGUUCAAGUCUCCAAUAACAUGGACGUAUGAUAGCACCACCUAUCGGAACCAUGCCAAAAUUCACUGUGUCAACCUCAUGUGUUUGAUCUCCAUACCUUAAUCCUUUACUUCACACUUGCAUGUUUUACUUUCCGCUGCUACACUCUUAGACCUGCAUGUGUAGGGUGUACUUGACUUGGUAUAAUUGCAAAAGCUACCUAUCAACUAAAAUUGGGAAAAGGCAAAAUUAUUUUCUUGUAAAGUAGUCUAAUCAUCCCCCCUCUAGACGUACUUUCGAUCCUACAAGUGGUAUUAGAGCUUUGGUCUAUAUUGCAUUGGUUUCACAACCUAGGAGAGUAUGGCGUCUAGUGAGGGAAAUUAUCACCAUAGAGGUCCAUAUUUCGAUGGCACUAAUUUUGCUAGUUUAAAGCACAAGAUGAAAUUGCAUAUUCUUGGCUUUAAUCCUCAUGUUUGGGCAGUUAUUUGUCUUGGUGUGCAAGGUAACUUCUUUGGAGAAGGGCAUGAACCUGAUCGUGAUGCGACAACUGAUGAACUCAACAUGUCGCAACUCAAUGCUCCAGCCUGCGACAUUAUCUUCAACUGUGUUUGCCCUGAAGAAUUCAAAAAACAAUCAACUGCCUUGAGAAUACAAAACAAAUUGGGAUACUUUGGUCGAUAUGCACGAAGGUACUAAUUCUGUCAGAUAAUGUAAAUUCUAUGAAUACCAAUCGUGCUAAUGAUUGCAAUAUUGUUAGUAUAAAUUCUAUGAAUACCAAUCGUGCUAAUGAUCAUGAUUUGGUUGAUCCAUCUUAUGAUCUUCAAAAUUUAUUUAAGCCUCCUGAUGAAUAUGUUAUUGAUAAUAAUGUUUGCAAUACUAUUAAAAUUUGGUUUGGAAGAGCAUCGACUUUAGGUAAUAAUGAUCCCACUACUUUGGAGAAUUAUCAGUCUCAUGGCAUUUUUGAUAAAAGUGGGUUUGGAGAGGUCAUCACUUUAGUUGAUAUUAAUCCCACUAUCUUCAAAGAUUAUAAGAUUUGCAUGCAUAUGGAUCAUAAAGAGAAUGUUUUACAUGAUAGUUAUAUUGUUGAGUUUGAUUAUGAUCCUACAUAUAAUUAUUUUGAGAGAGGCAAAUAUUGUUAUAAAAAUCUUCAUGUCACUUGCCUCUCUUUGUGUUGAAAUUAUUAAUGCUUCACUCUUCCUAUUUGCUUAUGCUAGAUGGUACUUGUCUUGAUAAUUUGUUUUCCUAUAAAAUUCCUAUGCAUAAGAAUUGUGUUAGAUUUAGAAGUUAUUUUCACAUGUUUUCUGAUCCUCUCUUUCUGUUUCAAUUCUUGUCUUUUAUCUGAGCACCAUUAUUAUCCCAAGCCUAUCUACGCACUACUUUCUCUUGUUGUGCGACAUGAUUAUUGGUAGUGUAAUGAUUGUGUUUUUUAAUUAGUGUUUGUGCCAAGUACAUUCUUUGGGAUGGUUUGCUUGAUGAUAUAAUUGAUUUUGUGCAAAAACAGAAACUUUUACGCCCAAUAUUUGAAUUUAUGUUUUUUAACUAGAACAUGAUAUACUGCUGAAAUUUUUACACACUAUUUUCCUGUAAGUUCCCACGUUGUCCUAAUUUUUCAAAAAAUGGAGUUACAGAAGUAAGUUUUAGUAUAAAUCAAUACGGGUAGUUCUAUUUUUUACAAAUUGUGCGUUUGUUGCAUAGUGUGCUUGUUUUGAUGAUUUUAUGGAUUCCAUCGGGGGGUAUAAGUCAUGGGAGAGUAUAAUAUAAUAAGUAUUAUGUAAGAGCAAUUAUGAAUGAGUUCAUAACAGUUCAUAAGUUUAUGGUUUUCCGAUUAUACUAAUGGAUCUCACCAGUUUUCUGUUGAAUUUUGUGUGCUAAAGUUUUCAAGUUUUGGGUGAGAUCAUGAUGGAUAAAGGAAUAAGGAGCUGCAAGACUCUAAGCUUGGGGAUGCCCAAGGCACCCCAAGGUAAUAUUCAAGGAAGACCCACGCGUCUAUGUUUGGGAUGCCCCAGACGGCAUCCUCUCUUUCGUCCAUAAUUCAUAUGUAUGCUACUUGGAGCUAUAUUUUUAUACAUCACACGAUACGCGUUUUCCUUGGAGCGUCAUGUAUUAUAUUUCGUUUUCCUUUUAGUUUUCAACAAUCACUUGUUGCUCGACACAAAUUUUGCGAGAGACACAGAUUCAUAAUGAUUUUAUAAAAUUUUGAGCUAUGUAGUUGCUCAUGUAAUUCACUUAUAUCUUUACAUCAUAACUGUGGUUAUAUAUCUUAUAGAGAUGAUUGCACUCUCAUGCUUCACUUAUAUCUUUUUGAGAUUCUUAUGUAGGAAGUGUUAAUGUGCAUGAGUUAUAAAAACCACUAUGGAAAUGGUAGGGAUAUAAGUUGAUAAAAUGAAAACUUCAUCUAGAUCACUGAAUAUGAUUCAUAUUACUUGAUUUAUAUUGAUGUAGUAAUAUGAAGGGUAUGGAUUCAUGAUCAAUGGUUAGUAAAGAUAUCGAUAUUAAAUAUUGUUAUUAACUACUCAUUUAAGUGUCGAUUAUGGUAUAUGGUCGGUAUGUUGGACCAUUUUUAUUGCUCGUUGAACUCCAUGUGAUGUUUGAGUCAGGGGCACGUGAUGGUUAACUCCUCCCAAGCUCCUCCCUGGGAGUACGCGAGUAGUACUUUCCUUUGAGAGCUAAUAAAACAUUGCAAUCGGUAUGUGAGUUAUUUAUGCCUAAUGUGAGUUCAUGGACUAUACACACUCUCACCUUCCCACCAUUGCUAGCCUCUUCGGUACCAUGCAUUGCCCUUUCUUGUUAGAAAUAUGCCCUAGAGGUAAUGAUAAAAUAGUUAUUAUCAUAUUUCCUAUUUUAAGAUAAUCAUUUAUUAUCCAUGCUAUAACUGUAUUGAAUGAAAACAUAGAUGCAUAUGUGGAUAUAUAGACAAAACAAUGUCCCUAGUAAGCCUCUAGUUGACUAGCCAGUUGAUCAAGGAUGGUUAAGGUUUUCUGACCAUAUGCAAGUGUUGUCACUCGAUGACUCGAUCACAUCAUUGGGAGAAUGAUGUGAUGGACAAGACCAAAACUGUAAAUGUAGCAUGUGAUCGUGUCAUUUUGUUGCUAUUGUUUUCUGCGUGUCAAGUAUUCAAUCCUAUGACCAUGAGAUCAUGUAACUCACUGACACCGGAUGAAUACCUUGUGUGUAUCAAACGUCGCAUCGUUACUGGGUGCCUAUAAAGGUGCUCUACAGGUAUCUCCGAAGGUGUCCAUUGAGCUAGCAUGGAUCAAGACUGGGAUUUGUCACUCCGUGUGACGGAGAGGUAAUACAACAUCACAUACAAGCCUUGCAAGCAAUGUGACUAAAGUGUUAGUCACGAGAUCUUGUAUUACGGAACGAGUAAAGAGACUUGUCGGUAACGAGAUUGAAAUAGGUAUAGGGAAACCGACGAUCGAAUCUCGGGCAAGUAACAUACCGAAGGACAAAGGGAAUGGUAUAUGAGAUUAUACUAAUCCUUGGCACAUAGGUUCAACCGAUAAGAUCUUCGUAGAAUAUGUAGGAUCCAAUAUGGAAACUAGGUCCCGCUAUUGGAUAUUGACUGGGGAGUUUCUCAGGUCAUGUCUGCAUAGUUCUCGAACCCGCAGGGUGUGCACACUUAAGGUUCGGUGACGUUUCAGUAUAGUUGAGUUAUAGGUGUUGGUGACCGAAGCUUUGUUAGGUGUUGGUGACGGAAACGAAGAUUGAUAUAUAGGAUUGUUUCAUUUGGCUUCUGGAAAGAUUUCAGGCAUUACCGGCAGUGUACCAGGAGUGACGAAUGGGUUCCGUGUUUUUACCGGGAGGGGGGCCACCCACCCGGGAGAGAACCUAACAGUCCACGGGUGGAGCACCAGCCCUUGGUGGGCUGGUGAGGCCAUCCCAAUAGGGCUAUGUGAGCUAAAGGAAAAUCAAAGGAGAAAAAGAAAAAAAGAGGUAGGUGGGAAGGAAGGAAGGGACUCCUCCUUCCCAAACCGAAUUGGAGUGGGAGUCCCUCCCCUCCUCCACUCGGCCGACGCCCUAGGGGCUCUCUUGAGCCCCAAGUCUAGCCCCUCCCCUCCUCCUAUAUAUACUAGAGGUUUUAGGAUUUUUGAGACACAACUUUGCCACGUGCAACCCUAAACCUCUACUUCAUAGUUCUUCCUGUAGAUCGGUUUUCUGCGGAGCUCGGGCGGAGUCUUGUAGUAAUAGACCAUCACCGGCACGCCGUCACACUGCCGGAGAACUCAUCUACUUCCCAUAUCUCUUGCUGGAUCAAGAAGGCGGAGAUCGUCAUCGAGUUGUACGUGUGCUGAACGCGGAGGUGCCGUCCGUUCGAUGAUAGCUAGGACAGAUCAUGGAACGAUGGUGAUUUGAUCUCAACCGCAUUUGUUAACGCUUCCCGCUUAGCAAUCUACAAGGGUAUGUGGAUCCGAUCUCCCUCUCAUAGAUGAACAUCACCAUGAUAGGUCUUCGUGUGCGUAGGAAACUUUUUGUUUCCCAUGCAACGUUCACCAACAGUGGCAUCAUGAGCUAGGUUCAAGCGUAGAUGUAAUCUCGAGUAGAACACAAAAGUUUUUGUGGGCGUUGAUGUUCGAUUUGCUGCCCUCCUUAGUCUUUUCUUGCUUCGUCGGUAUUGUUGGAUUGAAGCGGCCCAGAACAAUCUUACUCGUACGCUUACGGGAGACCGAUUUGAUCGACUAACAUGCAACUUGUUGCGUAAAGAUGACUGGCGGGUGUCUGUUUCUUCAUCUUCAGUUGAAUUGGAUUUGACCGAGGCGGUCCUUGGAGAGAGGUUAAAUAGCAAUUUGCACAUCUCUGUUCUGGUUUCGCGUAAGUAAGAUGCGAUCAUACUACAUACCCAUAGCAGCCAAGUAAAACAUGCAACAACAAAUUAGAGGACGUCUAACUUGUUUUUGCAGGGUAUGCAUGUGAUGUCAUAUGGCCAAAGACAUGAUGUGAUAUAUUGGAUGUAUGAGAUGAUCAUGUUGUAAUAGUUAAAUAUCGACUUGCACAUCGAUGCUACGGUACCCAACAGGAGCCAUAGGGUUGUAUUUAAACUAACAUUUGUGUUUGCAGAUGUGUUUGCUAUAUUGCUAGGUUGUAGCUUUAGUUGCAAUAGCAUAGAUAGAACGACAACCUCGAUGGCGGCACGACGAUGGUGAUCAUGAUGAUGGAGAUCUUGGUGUGGCGCCGGUGACGAUGAAGAUCAUAUCGGUGCUUUGGUGAUGGAGAUCAAGAAGCACAAGAUCAUGGCCAGAUCAUGUCACUUAUGAAUUGCAUGUGAUGUUAAUCCUUUUAUGCACCUUAUCUUGCUUAGAACGACGGUAACGUUAUAAGGUGACCCCUCACUAAAUUUCAAGAUAAAAUUGUGUUCUCCCCGAAUGUGCACCAUUGCGACAGUUCGUCGUUUCGAGACACCACGUGAUGAUCGGGUGUGAUAGACUCAACGUUCACAUACAAUGGGUGCAAAACAGUUGCACACGCGGAACACUCGGAUUAAACUUGACGAGCCUAGCAUGUACAGACAUGGCCUCGGAACACAAGGGACCAAAGGGUCGAGUAUGAAUCGUAUAGUCGACAUGAUUAACAUAGAGAUGUUUACCACAGAAACUGCACUCAACUCACGUGAUGAUCAGAAUUGAGUUAGCGAAUUUGGAUCAUGGAACACUCAAAUAACUAGAGUGAUGUCUAUUUGAGUGGGAGUUUAUUAGUAAUAUGAUUAUCUGAACUCUUAUUGUCUUGAACAUAGUCAAAGUCCACUUUGCAAUAUUUUAUGUUGUAGAUCAAUGGCUCAUGCAGUAGCAACCCUGAAUUUCAAUACGGUCCUAGAGAAAGCAAAGCUGAAAGAUGAUGGUAGCAACUUUGUAGACUCGGCGCAUAAUCUGAGGCUUAUCCUACAAGCUAGGAAAAUAAUUAUGUCCUUGAUGCGGCGCUAGGAGAUGAACCACCCGCUACGUCUGAACAAGAUGUUUUGAACGCUUGGCAAGCACGUAAGGAGGACUACUCAGUAGUUCAAUGUGUAGUCUUGUAUGGCUUAGAACCGAGACUUCAACGACACUUUAAACAUCAUGGAACAUAUGAGAUGUUCCAGUAGUUGAAGUUUAUCUUUCAGAAGAAUGCCUGGGUCGAGAGGUAUGAGACCUCCAUUAAAUUCUAUGCUUGCAAGAUGGAGGAGAAUUCAUCUGUCAGUGAACAUGUGCUCAAAAUGUCUGGGUACUCAAACCGUUUAGUUGAGCUGGGAGUUGAACUCCCACAAGAGGGUAUCACUGACAGAAUUCUUUAAUCAAUGCCACCUAGCUACAAGAGCUUUGUGUUGAACUAUAACAUGCAAGGGAUGAAUAAGUCACCCGGUGAGUUAUUCGCGAUGUUGAAAGUCACAAAGUCUGAACUCCGGAAAGAACAACAAGUGUUGAUGGUCAAUAAGACCACUGGUUCAAGAGAAAUGGCAAAGGCAAGAAGGGAAAUUCCAAGAAGAGCGGCAAAACUGUUGCCACUCCGACGAAGAAAGCCAAGCCUGGACCUAAGCUGGAAACAGAGUGCUAUUAUUGCAAGGGGAUGGGUCACUGGAAGCGCAACUGCCCCAAGUAUUUGGCUGAUACGAAGGCGGCCAACGCCAAACCAGGUAUAUGUGAUAUACAUGUUAUUGAUGUGUAUCUAACCAACUCUCGUAGUAGUGCCUCGGUAUUUGAUACCGAUUUUGUUGCUCAUAUUUACAACUCGAAGCAGGAACAGUGGAAUAAACAAGGUUGUCGUAGGAUGAAGUGAUGAUGCGCAUGGGAAAUGGUUCCAAGGUUGAUGCAAUCGUCGUCAGCACAGUCUCACUUCAGUUACC
rnacentral:lncRNA from 1 species